rnacentral:lncRNA from 1 species
CAUACCUUUCUCGGCCUUUUGGCUAAGAUCAAGUGUAGUAUCUGUUCUUAUCAGUUUAAUAUCUGAUAUGUGGGCCAAUGGUCCACACGAUAUUAAAUUAAUUUUUUAAAGGGGAAGGGCCAUUAUGGUAGCUUGCUACUGGGUCCUUCAAGUGUCGCCCUUGUGUUGCACUAUUGCAUGGGCUGGCACACCCUCUAAUCUAGUUUCAUAUAUUUUUUUUAAUUUAUGAAUUUAUUUUGUCUUAUGUUAUAUAUACAUUUUCUAAUAUAAAUGAUUGAAAUUUUGUUAAGAUUAAAUGGUAUUAUAUUACAACAAUUGAUAUUAAAGAUAGACCAAAAUUAUCUAAUAAUAUAAAUCUUAUUCAAAGCAUAACUACAAUAAAAUUACUAAUUUCUAAAUUAUUCUAAUGAUAAAUAAAAUAAUUAAUACAUCUAGGUAAAAUAAUUUGAAUAUGCUUACGAAGUCAAAUAAUUAUCAAAAUCAAAGUAUUUCAAUCCAACUCAUCUAAUAUUGGUUCACAAGUGAUAAUUAAGCUUUCAAAUUUACAUUAGUAUUUGUUAAUAUUUAAUUAAAUGUAUUAUAUUUAGUUAUAUAUAAUAUAUUUAGACAUAUGCAUAUAUUAUCCCAUUUAAAAUCCUUUCAUACAUAUAUAUACAAGGUAAUACCUUGUAAUUUAGACGAUAGAAGAUAAAGAGAAGAAAUUAAACAAAUUAAAGCAAAUGGAUGUGUGAUUUGACUUGAAGUACUCUUCUCUUUAUUUACUUCUUUAGGCAAAAAGACUUUUUAAAGUUAGGACUCUUUAUUUACUUCUUUAGGCAAAAAGACUUUUUAAAGUUGGGAGAUUGUCACACUUUUUACUUUUUAAUCUCAAUAUUCAGAGAACUUUUUAUCUCCGAGUGAAGUUAAUACUCAUAUUUACCACUUACUAAAUACCAAACUUCACUUCACUAAUUUUUUAGGAGUUAAAUCUUACAUAUAUUUCAAGUUUCCUAUUCUUUACAUAUUUAAAUAAAUCUUAAUGUACAACAACACAUCAUUUACAAAAAUCAAUACUAAAGAAAUCUUUAAUCCAACAUAAAUUGUGAGAUAACAUUAUCUAAUGAUAAAUGAAGUGAUAGCACAAGUUAUAUAGCUGACUUGACCCAGUUAUACAACAUUGACCAUCAUAUUCAAUGUAAUAAGUUAAUAACUAUUUGUUCAACUCUCAUUCAAAAGUGAUGGUGUCACCAGAACAAACAACAGACCUAUAAAAAUACAUAUAUAAAUAUAUGUUGUACAGUGUAUAAGGCAUUACUAUUCCAAAGCUAUAUCAAUAGUUUUUCUGCAAGCAAAUUCUUAUAUAAUGGAAGAAGAUCAAUAUUUCAUUUUUCUAAUAUCCUAUUCAAUCAAUGUAUGAAAGUUGGUGAUGGCAAGACAGAUGCAGCACGUUAGAGUAAUAUUCCAUUUUCCUUGGUCAGACAGAGUCUAGAAGAUAAGUAGUUUUCCAAGUAAACAGCGCAGUCCAACACACCAACACUUCAAUUCUAUCUUAUACUGGCUGCCAUCUAGAACAACCCCUUUUCUUAAACCAUUACUAUUAUUUCAAAACUUCUGUCCAACAAUUUUAAAUAUUAUAAAUUUUUUUGGUAGCUUUGAAUUAGUUGAGUAAACAUGAACCUUGCAAUGCUUACUUUCAGACCAAUCCAACAAGUCAAAGGAAAAGCCCUAGUUCAAUGCAUCCAAUAGAUUGCUUUUUAAUUGCUCUAUUACUCGUACUUGCUUACGUAUAACACACAUUCAAUUCAACAAAGUCACAAGCAUAGUGUGUUGCACAGUACACGUUCACACAAUAUUACUCAUACACAUGUUCAGAAACGUCAACUAUAUCAAUCAGAACAACUGUCUCAAACUCUAAAUCUAGCAAACAAAACCAACCUUAUAAAUAUCACACACACCAUACUCUUCAAAGUCUCAUAUCUCACAUUCCAAACCUUUCUUUUCUUCUUUUCAUUUUAACCCUUUUCUCCAUUCAUCAUAUCCAUAUUCUGACACCCUUUUAAACCAGAAAACAUUAUAUAGUACUGAUAUUUGUGGCACAGUGGCGAUGAAGAGAGAAAGAGAAGUUGAUAGCGUAACCAUGGCCAACUACUUGAUGUUGCUUUCUGCAGGAGGUGAAUUUGAGAAGACAAACUACUUGAACUACUCUUCCAACCACCGUGUGUUUGAGUGCAAGACGUGUAAGAGGCAGUUUCCGUCGUUUCAAGCCUUGGGAGGGCACCGUGCGAGUCACAAGAAACCUAGGUUGAUGGGAGAGAGUGAGCAUAGCCAAGUUCUUCAUGGUUCACCACCAAAACCUAAGACUCAUGAGUGUUCAGUCUGUGGUUUGGAGUUUGCGAUAGGGCAAGCUUUGGGAGGACACAUGAGACGCCAUAGAACAUCAUCAAAUGGAAACAUGAACAAUGCUACUGCUACCACUGUUCAUAAUACUUCUUCACCAAAAAUGAACCACAAGGGUAGCAGCAACGAGAGAGUUCUGUUCCCUGAUCUGAAUUUGACGCCAUUAGAGAAUGAUUUGGAGUUUUUGAAGAUCAGACAACCAGCUCCUUUGGUUCACUGCUUCAAUUGAAUAUGUUCUUGUAGUGUAGGACACUGCUUUUUGCUCCCUUUUUUCAUUUUUAUUUUACUGUAUGUAAAUUAUAUUUGUUCAGUUCUUGGUAUAUACAUACAUACAUAUAUCUAUAAGAAAUUUGUGUUUGUGAAAACAAAGAACAAGUAUCCGCGUAAUUUGUAAAUCAAUUCUGCUAAAAUAGUUUAACUGAAGGCAUGUUUCAUCAUGGCUUAUCAUUAAGCUAAUUAAUUGUUCUGCAAGUGCUAAUCUCAGGCCUGUUAAGCUUGAUUUUUCUAUUAUGCACUUAACAACGCAGAGGUUAAUUGGUUAUUGUUGUUCCAAAACCUUAAAAACAGCUAUGUUCCUUGUCAUCUCACCAGAAAAAAGAAAACCCUAAAAAUACUCGAAAGAUUUCAAUCUUCUCUUCUCUUGAAUCCUAACGUUGAACCUUUCCUUUAAACUGACAUUUUAUUUAUCACUAUUUAAGCUUAUUUUGCGUACAACUCACGGUUUGUUUAAUUCGUAGGUCAUUUUGCAGUUGUCGUUUUAAAUAAUGAGAUUGGUGUGACAAUAAAUUCAAUUUCAGAACGUGAUUCAUGGUGGAAACAAUUCUAUACAACCUAGCACUGCAAAUAUAAAAUUUUAAAUACGAACUAAACUUUGAUUUCUCUUUGUAUAUUUAAUCAAGUCAAAGGUUUGCAAACAUGCAUGAUGCACGUUCUCAAGGAAAAUAACCACAAAACGGGUUUCUUAACAGAGAAUAGAAAGCGAUCUGCAUAACUGCUUCUGAUUAUUCUAAAUAACUUUUCCUUUAUGUAUAAUUAAUCAAAAAACAUGUACCCUAAUGCUUGUUCUAGAUAUAUAUGGUGAUGAACAUCGAAAUACAACGAAGAGAUAAGACAGCGGUUGUUUUUUACAAUUAACAAUGAUUUGAUAAUCGAAACCUAUUAAAGCGAGGUUAAGAAGAGGUUGAAACAUUAAAAUAUAUGUUUACUUGUUUCUAAUUCACUACUAAUAACUUUUAGUGAUUUUGUUACUUAAUGCAGAACAGAUCCUUAUCACAUUCACGAAAUUUCUUUCCGUAAAACAUGUAAAAAAAUUCGUUGGAAUAUUAUUGUGGAAUUGAUUUUUGUAUAAUCCAAUUUCUGUGGACAUCAUGCAAUCUAGAAGGUAACAAAUUUUCAAAUAGCAGUGCCGUGCAGUUGGUUCCAAUGAAACCUUAUCCUACAACAACAACCUGCGUUCAUCUAGAAAUUUGUUUCAUUCCCACUCUCAUUUCAAACUUUGUGUUCAACAAAUUUAACCAUUUUAAUAUUUGUGGCUACUACUAGCUAGAGUAAGCUAAAUUGGAGCAUGGAUUCAUCGCAGGUUAGGAUUAAAUUAGUAUUAAAAGAAUCUGGCUUUAAAAGAGUUUUAGUGGUAAAAUUGAUGCUGUAAGACAUUUGAAUUCCAAGAAUUAAUUUUAUUUAAAUGUUCAAAGUUGCUAAAGGGAGGUUCAAUACACAUAUAUCUCCACAUUGGUGAGAUAUUCUCCAUUUUGGGUCAAACUCUCAUGGAUUUGUUUUUAGUAUCACUUUAAAGACCUUUUAAGAUAUCUUAUCUGUAUAUAAACUGAUGUCUAUCUCUUACGUCGAUUCGAUGUGAAACUUUGUUUGUACCAAAUAAUUGUCAGAUCACAUAAUACUUUACUAAUAUAACAGUUAUAAAAGUUGUUAUAGAUAAGUAAAUAUUUUAAUAUUUUAAUAUCCUUCUUCUAAACAGUUUCUUCAGAAUUAUGUUCUAGCCAGUAAUCCACAAAUGCACGACAAGCUACCAAGUUCGUCUAGAUAGUAUGAUAAGUAAGCACAUAAAAAUGGCCCCAAUUUCAUGUAUGAACAAAACUAUAUUUUUAACAAUUUUCUAUGUAGACUUCCUUGUCAAGUAUAUUGUUUCAUUAGGGUACUGACAGAUAAAAUAAAUAAAUCUAAAAUAUUAUUCACCUCGUUGUAAAAUGCAACAUAAAUUAUAGUAAUUUAUAAGAGAAGUAGAAAAUUAAUAGGUAGAGGAUAUAAUAAAUGAUAAAUAUUAUAUAAUCUGAUGGGUGAUUUUAAGUCUAACUUCAUCUUAUAUAAUCUAAUUUUCAAAUAGGAUUUACACCUAUAAACACUAUAUGAAUAAAUACUUAGUAUUACUCAUGUAGAAGAAGUUACACCUGGCUCAAGCUUAAUUACUAUAAUUAUAUUAAUUAUCAAACAAACAAUAAUUUCUCAUCAGUUAAGUUGUAUAUUAAUUUAUUUUAUGUCACUAUAUAACACAUCAAGUGUAAAAAGGUAUGUUAUAUAUAAAAAGAUCCAUAAAAAAACUAUAAUUUGAGAUAUUGUAAGUUUUGACCUGAUUUCAUGGUACCUCAUUAUAUACUAAUUUAGUACAAGUUACGUCAGGUAGGUGCACCAAGUUAUUUAUAAAUCUAUAAAAUGUAGUUAUCAAUGUUAAACUUUGAAACAUGGCACACAAGAUUGGAUUGCCAAGUCAUAGAGUGUGGCAGAAUUUUCCUCAGUUAACAACAUUUCAACUAUGUGCUUAUGUACACCAUACACACUAUAAUCACAAUAGACUUUAGUUUAUCCUUCGACAUAAUAAUUUAAUAAUUUGUCUAAGUUUAGCAAUUUCCUUCAUUUUUUCUUAGUCAUAUCUCAUUAGAGACUUUUGGGAGGCUUCAUACAAACAACUAUUUCUAUAAGGAGAUUUAGAAACUAUCUUUGUUUUUUAUGUUUAAGUGACGCGUAGUUUUUUUACUUGAACUUGGAAAUAUGGUAUAUAAAUAUUAGAUUUAUUAAAUAAUAAUAAUAUAUGAACAAUUUCACAUCUGAGAUGUAAGACUUUUCUCUGUAAUAUUAUUCUGUUUAGUUUGGACUUUUUUUAGCUGAUUUUGUCAUUUAGCUAGUUGAAUCAAAGAAAGAACUCUUACUUGGCUACAGUACGUGUGUUGUUAAUUGUUUAGUAUGAGGUUGAUUAGGACAUCAAACUUACAACAUUUUAGGAAGCUAUUCAUUGGUAGCUUGUUCUAGAAAGGUUGGUUUUCGACAUCAUUGGAUCAUGUUUGACAAAGAAGCGUACCCAAAAAACAAAAUGACUUGAACAGUUUUCUCACUCAUGAGGUAACCAUGUAAAGGUCGACUUCUUUUUACAAUGUAUAUAUAACAGUUUAUGAUUGGUCCGUUUUAAAUAUUUUUUUAGAAUAAAUUCAAACAAACCAAUAAAAUGGUGACACAUAUUCUGUUAUCAAAAAAUUAUUAAAAAAAAAUUAUUAAAAUAUUAUUAUCCUUUUUACAAAUAUGCACAAGAGAAAAGUGGUAAUACCUCUACUUUGUUGGUUGAACCACAAUUGUAACUCAAUAAUUUUACCAUUACUAAAACUAUAAUCAUAAUAAAUUACUAAUUUGGGAAUUGCUUUUCUAUUAUAGUAUAUAUAUAUUAUUAUUAUAUUAUAUUAUAUUAUAUUAUUAUUAUUAUUAUUAUUUUAAUUUGACCCAAACAGUCAACCACAAAAGUUAGUUUUUUUCUCUUAAUUUUACAAAGUUAGUAAUUUGAUUCCAUCAAUUUCGGUCGAAGCAAUUGACUAUUCAAUUUUCCCACAAUUUUCUAUACCUUAUUUUGUCACAAACAAAUUAAGUCAUCAUGAGAACAUGCUUAAUCCACUCAUAUGCUUAUCUUUGAUGUUAAAUAUAAUAUAUAUUAUUAAUUAAAAUACUUUUUAGGCUCGCAAAACUAAUAUUAAAUAUAAUAAAGUUUAUAAAUAUCGCAUUGUGAUGUAAGCAAAGUUAUAUAAACUAUUUUAGAUAUCAUAAUAAUAUACUUUUUAGCCCUGUCUUUCCAUUGUAAUUAAUUUUAUAUAUUUUCACAAUAAUAGGAUAAAAGAAUCUAUAAAAUUCGUGAAUGCAUCAUUAAUAUAGUUCUAUAAAAUAAUAUUUAAAUUUUAAAUAUGUUGAUAUUUAUAGUAAAUGUUCUAUACCCGAUGAAAUAUCACAUCAUUAAUAUAACCUUGUAAUACAAAUACAAAUAGUUCAAUUCCUUAUAAUGUAGAUUUUAAUGAUUUUCACAUAAAUUUACAUGUGACAAGAACAAAUUCUAGGAUUCACAUUGAAUGAGUUUUAUUUCAAGUUAAAACAAACACACAACUAGACAAAUUUGAGACUAUUAGGAUUCUAAAGUAUUAUUAACAUUUGUAAGUGGCACAAUUUUAUGCAACACAAAUGCAAAAAAUGUACUUGCUGAAAAGCAAUUUCAUUUUAGGUUAAUAAUUACAAGCAAAACUCAAUUAAUUUUGAAGAUAAAUCAAGUUAUACAAAGAAGUUUUUACCAACUAAUAUACUAUUUAACCAAUAUAAAUUAAUUAGAAUUUCUUUAAAGCAUAAUUAAAUAAAAAAUUAUUUCAAAAAGAUUUUAAAAUUACUUACUUUUUCAUUCAUACAAAUUAAUAUAGACUAUGAAUCAUUUAAUCGUUUUAUUGCUUUUUUAAUUUUUAGAAAAUUUAACACAAACAAUCACAAUAAUUUUACUCUGGUCAACUUUUAUAAUGAGUAAAAUUGAUAAGAAAAAUGAAAAAUAACUUUUCUGACGAAAAUUAAUUCUAGGUUAGAAACACACAACAUAUAUAAUUAUAUUUACAUCAAGCAAACUUAACUUUGUUAUUUUCCUUUAAACUAGAGUUUCUAAUAGACAUCAUUUUGUUUAAUAUCUUCAAUUCUCUUAACAUCAGUUGGAUCAAAAUGUAAAACAAAAGGACUUUUUUACCAUCCAAAUCAUAUUUGAAAGAUAUUUUUUAAACACAAUUUUUAAUUACUUCAAUUCUUUUAAAAUCCUGAUAUAACUUGUAAAUAUUAAUUUUAACAAAUUCUAAAAUGUAUCCAACAUAUUCCGAAUUAUUCAUUCCAAAAUAAAAUCACAUAAAUUCGACCAACCAGUAUAGAAUAGUAACAAAAGGCAUUACGGAAUUAUGAUUUUAAAAUUACGUAGGAUAAAUACCAUUUACAUAAUUCUUGAUAAGAAAUUGUAAAAAUGCACUUGAUAACAUGCAAUUAAAAAACAUAAUUCUUGAUAUUAUGGAUAUAUUACAAAAGGAAAAAUAUAUAACUACAAAUUUAAAAAGAUAGGGAAAAUAGCAUAAUUCUUUGAUUUUAAUUUAAGUGAUCCUCAAACUUAAUUGAUACUUAAACUUUAUUAUUUUUGUAAAUAAAUACCUAGAAUAUUAAAUUUAUUCUAACUAAUCCUUAAAGCUUAUCAAUCAAUCUUUUAUAAUAUAUUUUUUUCUAGGAAGUUUGAUUUUAAUAGUUUACAUUAAAUGUUAGUAAUUAUUAGUUUUUCUUACCUGUGAUUAUAAUUCCUUUUUCAUAUGUAAAAAUAUGUUAAAAGUGAGAAUUCAGAAGGAAAAAAAAAUAAAAUGCCUAUUCAAAUUUUACAAAUAAUUUUUUAUUUGUCUAUGUAAAAUUCUACAAUUUUUAUAAAAUGUAAUACUUUGAUUUUAUUUGUUGCUUAAGUCAUGAUGCUAUCGUCUAAAAAAAAUCAAUUAUAUAAACUUGAAUAGUCAAAUUUAGAAGCUACGGACCCUGAAUUACUAAAAAUUUCAAUAUUCAAAUUUGGAAUUUUGCUCAAAAACAUCGAAUUUAAUUCAAUUCAAAUAAAUCAAUUUAUUAUCAAUACGCCUUAUUAUAUAAUGAUUCAGUUUAAAUAAUAUUUUUUUGAAAAUUGUUUAUAAAAAAAUUGGUAUGCUUUAAGGAUUAAUUACAAUAUAAUUAAAAUUUACGUGCUUAUACAAAAAGAAAAUAAAAAAAAGUUUAAGGAUUAAAUUGGACCAAAAUUAAAAUUAAAAACAUCUAUUCAUAAAUAAGAUCAAUUAAAAUAAAAUUAGCGUUAAACCAAAUUAUAGUUUAGGAUAUUAGAUAAUGUUUCCUCUAAAAGAAUAAAAGAAUAUCGAGAUGCGAAUAGUAAAAUUAUGAGAACAAAAUACCUUUCGUCUUCCCAAAAAAAUACUUUAUUUCCUUUUCUUAUUGUUUCUUUCGUCCAGUAACAUGUAAAGUGAUAAAAUGAAACUACUGUGGUGGGUUAGGACAUGUUUCAAGUUAUUGAUGAGAAAUCAAAACGUAAAUAUGACAAUUUUUUUCUAAUCAUAUUCUAUCAUAUCAUUCAAACAAUGGAAUGAAGAAUUUAUUCCAUUUCAUCUUAUGUGCCUCUACUAAUCCAAACAUAGCCUUAGAUUUUCAUAUUCACUUCAAUGUUUUUAACCAUAUAUAAUCAGAUAAACCUAUACACAGGAGGAGGUUUUUAGACUGGCUAGUCCUAAAAGAUAGAACCCAACAAUGGUCGUUCCAACAACAGUAACAGAGCUAAUGCCUUUCUUUGUUAAAAAGUAGAACAAGAAAACCUAAUGUGUAAUUUGCUAAGUGUGGAUAUUAGUUCUUGGAAAGUAAUCCAGAUUAUCUUCUUACUUAGGAUCCAUAGGACACACUUGGAGGGUUGUUUGUGAUCCACAUAAAUCAUGACUACUGGUUAUUUUUUGUCUUACCACUUCACUCUGAUAGUUGUAUAACAUGGCCACCACUAUUGUUGUCACAUGUCAAAGGGCGCACCACCCUUUUCUGACAUGCCAGAACAAUAGUGCAACAAUCAUAUGCACUCCAUAUCUCUUAGCAAAGCUGAUAAGGUCAAACACAAAAGCCGCCUAAAGCAAGGAAUGGUGAAACAACGCGGGACAAAUGUUUUUUGAAACAAACUCAACAUAACAGAACAUCUCUACUCUAAGAUGUUUCUGCACUCUGUCAAAUACUAUUGACAGCUCUGUAUAGCAAAGCUUUGUAAGUUGAAUUUUCAAUUUCUUUUUACUCAGCUAUGCUUAGUUGUAAACACACGAGGCACCUGAACUAAGGAUUACCCUACAAGCUCUUACUAAAAUUCUCCCACGACAACAACUUCCAUCCUCUGCACCAUAAUGUGAGAAUGAGUCUGGAUCACUGGGGAGAAUCAUAAAUUGGUGACAUGGAUGAGAGUUUUCAUCGGAAAGCCCUAGCGGGAUUCAUAAGUUAUAAUCUAUGAAUAGGACGCACAAAACCACUGGUUUGAAUUGAUCAACACAUAUAUAAUCAUGCAAGCAGUGAUUACAGGUGAACCAAAUCUGAAAUUAAAUUGAAUAAAAGGGCAUGGCAGAAGUGAAUAUAAACUCUGAAGCAACAAUUGGGAAUUUUAGUCUGCUUUUAGAUUUCAUCGUUUCUGUUCUAACAUGUGCUAUCGAGCAGUUUCACAGUGGAUAAAAAGACAACAUAUGCAUGAUUCAAAUUGAUAAACAGCGGAAGAUAAAGAUUGUUUAAUAUAAUAAUAAAUCGAAGCAUAGAAACAGAAUAGAAGUGAAGGUGUGAUCUAAGAGAGUUAGUUAGGGUUUUGAGGAUGAUCUUGGGGGUUACCGAAUUUUUCUUUGAAGGAAUUCUGGCGCUGCAACCACAUCAUGUGACCCUGAAAUUGAAAACGCAAAGCAACAGAAGAAAGUAGAUGAAGAAUUGAAGAGAAGGGAGAAGAAUAAAUAUGGAUAACCUACCUUACCUGAAGAGCUGCAGCCCAAGCAAUGAUGAAAGAUGCCAUCCAAAAUUUCUUGUCCUUCACCACAUUUUUCAAUUCCAUUCUUAUUUCAAUUCAAUUUCAAUUUCAAUGGCUUCUUCGUGUUUGGAUUCCUUCUUCCCUAAUGCAGCAAUCACAACGCCAUUUUCUUUAAACUCUUCUCUUUGAACAAUACCAGGCCACCCAGAUAGCCCAAUCAUACACUUUCCUUCCUUCAUGAGGCCCAAAUAUUUCAAACACUUCUGCUCUUAUACCAAAAAAUAACUAAAUAUUUUGUAAAAUGUAACUACUUUUCAUAUUUAAAAUAAUUAAUCUAUUUGACUCUUAUUUUAAAAUAAUUUAAAACAUUAUACUAUAUUAAAUUAUCCUUAACCUUAUGUGCAUUUCUUUCACUUAGUUACAGCAACAACAUGCAUUCUCAUGUUUAUCUUUCAUUUGAUAAUCUUCUCUACUAACAUUUUUAGAAGAAAAUAAAAAAUAAAAAUAAAUAAAUUUAUAUAUGAUAAAAACUAACAUGCAUAUAAAUUAAUUUGUAAUUUUUUCUCAAAUUUCCAGAUGGUGAUUUGUUAUUUAAAAAUGCAUAUAUAUAAACUUACUUCAUUUUUUUAAGAGAAUUAAAGUUUAUUCAACCAGACAUGUCAUGAUAAAGUCUAUGUUUAUCUCUUCUUAUGUAUACACAAAUUUAACAAGGUCACACUAUUAUCUUUUAUGAAAAAAGAGAAAUAGACCCAUAAUGAUAUAAUAUUGUAAAUUAUAAAUAUUAAAAUAUAAAUUUGUAGAGUUUACAGUCCAAUCUUUUUGUAAAUCAGAGAGUAUGAAAUAUAAUGUUUUCUAAUGUUUUAUAUGAUUGAAAGUGAUAACUAUGAGAAUGAGCAAUAUAUAAUGUAUAUUUUUAUUUUGUUUUUAUUAUCAUACUUAUCCAUAUCUUAAAUUAUUAAUACACUCUUAAUUUAUUUAAUAUUUUAUUUUAAAAUUUGUAAUUAUAAUUGUUAGUUUUAUUUGACAUGUAAGAGAAGAAAAUGUACAAUACUUUAAUGAAUUCUUGAUAUACCUAUUAUUUGACGGAAAGGGAAAUGACACCAAUUUUGUAUCUAUUUUAGAGAUAAAAACAAGUAUAAAGUUUUAUUCCAAAAAGAGAAAAAGGAGGAUAGACAAACCACACACACCUAAUUGCCAUCCACCCAAAAUGCCCUUAUAUGUGGGGAUUAUAUCAGCAUUCAAUAUAUAUGUGUGUGUAUAUAUAUAUAUAUAUAUAUGCCACUCUUAGUUUUGUCUUUUAAAGAAGUUUGGUAUUAAAUUUGCAUGGACUCAAGAUUUCUAAUCCUUCUAAGUAUUGAAAUUUAUUUAAAAAACUAUUAUUUCCUAACAAGUUUUCUUUCAUGCACAUAAAUUUGAAAAUCAAACCAUAUUAAAAUAGAGCUACUGUUUUAUCAGUUUGCAUCACCCCUUUCAUUUGAUUAAAAGGUAGAGUAAGAACACUAAAACUGCAAUCCUCUCUAAAUAUCCUAUCUAUACCAUCCAUUAUCGUUUGAUUUAAGUCCAAACCCCAACUUCAGGUCUAAAAUAUGAUCAUACAUUGCAGUGUCCAAACUGAGAUAAUGUCCAAAUUUGCAUCAUCUAAGAGCUGAGCCCCAGCAAAGGAAGAUUAAUAUAAUGUGCUCUCCCCAACUUCACAAAUUGGUGUCUAAGACCCAAAAUAUGAAAAAAAAAAAGGAGCAACCAAAGAAAUGAUUAACUCCUUUUUUUUUUAAGAGACGUAAUGAACUAGCAAGCAAAUAGCUCAUUCAACCAGAAUUAUAAUUUGUGUCCUCCUCCUCGAGAAGAUACUGAUGCAGAGGCAACUAAAAUUUAUUUGUGUCUAAGUCAGUUGAGUUGUCAACCAAAAUAACAUGAAGAUGGUAAUAAAGAUCUAAUUUUAUGUAACUCUCAUUCACUUGUAACAAUCCUAAGAAAUUAUCUUUCAACUGGGCAGCUUGCCAGAUAGGAAGAGAGAUAGCUUCUCUCUCAUAGCGUUGGCAGUGUUGUCCACAAAUUCACAGGUUUGGUCUGGAUAUCUGGAAUCGUGCUGGUGGCAAGAGGGCAUAUCAUUCAGUACUUCAUCCUUCAUAUCGAUAACUAUAUUAUGCAGAAUGCAGCAGACAAGAAUAAUUCUUGGUAACUUGUGCUUGUCAGGUUUCCACAUCACACCUUGGAUUAUCCUCCACAUCUCCUUCAGCCUAGCCAAUGCUUUCUUGGCCAACAUUUGAGUUUCGACAACCCUUCUAUUAAACUCAACUUGAACAUUUGAGAGUCCUUUACCUUCGUAAGGUGUAAGAAGCCAUGGCAAAAGGGGAAAGCCUCUAUCCCCUAUAAUAUACUCCCUUACUGCCGUUCCUUCUGGAAGUACUUUCUUACCCCCAUUCAACCUUUUCCCUUCUUCACCAAGUUUGAAAAAAGAACAACUUCGAAGCACUUGCUCAUCACUCAUACUUCCAGGCCAUCCAGUAACUAUGUCACGGAAUCUCAGAUCAGGAUCCACAAUGGCUUGCAAGACCAUGCUGCAAUUCUUCUCACGAUCGAGCCACACACUAUUCAAAGCAUCCACAGAGGGCAAAGUCAUCAUUAUGUGUGUGCUGUCAACGGCACCACAACAAUUAGAAAGGCCCCUGAAGUUCUCAAACUUGGACUUUAUCUCUUCCAUUUCGGUUUCAGUUGAAGGCCAGCUGAGAUGGUGUAGUCCUCUUUCUUCCAUUGCUUCCACAAACCUCCAUGUUACUUGGGAAACAGUCGACUGGUUCAUCCUAAAUGAGUCGCCAAUGGUUGACAAUGACUCACCAGAGCUGAGCCUUCUAAGAGCUAUAGCCACUUGGUCAUUUAGAGACAAACGUUUUCCAUUUAAAUCAACAAAAUUUGAGGCUCUGGCCAGCAGGUCUUCUUCCACAAGAGAACAUAUAUAGUUGAACGUCUUCCUUGAGAUCUUGAAAACUGACUCAAAUUUCUCUAUAUUUUUAGAUUGAGCCAAAGGUCCUACAAUUGGAAAAUUAAAGCAUGAGCAUAUCAUGAAGAUGGGCAGUUGAAUUUCACAAAUGUAUUAUGAAUAAGUUUAGUACAUCAUGCACCAUCUUGAAUAACAUGAAAGGAACUUAACCCACAUGCCAGAAGAAGUAAAGGCAGAAACAAUAUUCUUUAUAUCCAGACACAGUUAUACUCAAAUAUAUUAGAAAUAUAUGUGCAAAUUCUUUGUAACUGGUACCUAGAGGUCAGUUUCUCUGAACGCUGUGAGAAAAAUCCUUCUUUUCUUAUACAAAGAAAUCUACUCAGGUCACAGCAGAAAUAUCACAAAAAUAUGAACAACCUAAUGGCUACAUGCGACAGAAUUUUGAUUAAGAAAAUCAGUAUAGUAAGGCAUCUACUGAAUUCGGGUUCAUACCUCUGUUUUUUCAGAUGUUAUUUUCUUUUAAAAUCUCUUCAGCAGCCAAUGUUUUGAACUCAUUCAAAAUAAUUUUUUACUGUACCAACCAUACUAAUCUAACAUUUAUUCCAAGUUCAGCACAUCUGACAUUUAAACAACGAAGUUCCACAGAAUCUAUAUACCUUAGUUAUCUUCAAUCAAUUUAAUAAGCCACAUGCAAAAAUAUAUUUCAUAAAUAGUUAUAUUAGUUGGAAAGUACCGUGUUAACCACAGACUUGAAUAAUCUCACUGCUAAUGCAUCUGGUUAUCAGUAUAGAGAUGAGAUUGUAAAUUAUGUGACUCUUCAAAGCAGGCAUUGGGAAGAGACGAAAAGAUAAAUUAAAGGAAGAAAGAUCUUUAGAAAUGGGUUGAAAGUCAAAAUGAGUAUUGAUUGAAUUCAAUGCAUAAAACAUAAAGAAGCUGCACAAUUCACGUGAAAACAAUGCAUAAGAUACCCAGAUUGUUGUGUAAGUGGAUAACUGCAAUAAGUAAAGAUAACAAAUAUAAUUAUUCUGUUUAUACCUACAACCAGGAUCCCACCAAUGGUCUAAUUAUGUGGUGACACCAUACCAGAAGUUUCACAAUUUGGAAGGUUAAUAUACAAAUAGCAACUAGCCAAACAGAUAUACGAUAACCAAACAUGAUUCAACAAAAUUAUAACCAAAGUCCACUACAGUUUCUAAGUAAGAGAUACAUUCCUUGUAAGAAACACAUUUUGGUCAAAGGCAUGGGGUCACUUUCUUUAUCAAGUAAGUCAUCAAAGAUGUAUGCCCCAUAAGAGCAACAUGAAUAUGAAAGUCAAGCAGAGAAAACAAAGAUAUUAUCGAAUGAUGAGUAACUUAUUAAGCUUGAAGAAACAAUUCUCGUAUCAUUAUAAUCCUACCCAUUACCAAAAAGCACAAAACUUUUUUGCCCUACAUCAGAUAAUCAUAAUAAUAAUAAAUAAUAAUAAUAAUAAUAAGUAGAAGUCUUGAUAUACAAUGAAAAACAAGUAACAGACUAUCACACACACAUGUCCAAUCACAAACAAGAAAGGAUAUUGCAGUGUACCUGAAAUUCUGAGGGAGAAAUGUUGCCACCAAUCGAAUGGGGUGGCAGAGGCAUCUUGGCCAUCUUUGUCAUCAGCCUUCUUCCUCUUCUUGAUUCCUCUGAUGGAACCCAUUCAGUAUAUAUUCACAACCCAAAAUAACACCAAAGCAAAGCAAAAUCAGAAAAGGGGAACAAAACCCAUUAAUCACCACCCAGAUUUCAACUCCACCAAACAAGAAUCAAAGUGUGUGUGUGCAAAUUGCAGAGUAUUUAUUAUGACAUGAAAAAGAUAAAUGAAUGAAGUAGUAAAGCAUAGAGAGAAAGGGUGAAAGAAAGAACGAAGCAGAAUACGUGAAUAACUAAUACUAGGUGUAAUAUCCAUAUAUAUAUAUAUAUAUAUAUAUAUAUAUAUAUAUAUAUAUAGGUGGAGUGAAGGGAAUCAAAGAAUGUAAAAAAAAUAAAAUUAUAAAAAGAAAUUAAAAUAGUUCUCUGAGACGAGACCGCUAGUUUCUGUCGUAAAUCGACAUGUCAUGAACAAUUCAACACUUCCUUGCUUAUGGUCUUUCAAUUCCUUUUAUUUUUUACUUUUCAAAUCACUUUAACCAACUGGUAACUUUAGCAUUUAAAAUAUAAAUUCUAAAUAUAAAAACUGAAAAUAAAUUUUUUUAACAUUUCUCAGUGAAUGUUUUUUUACUGUCAGAAACAUGAAACCCUCUUGUUUAUUUCUCUGGUCGUUUUACCAAUUACCAUUUUCUUGUUUAUUUCUCUGGUCGUUUUACCAAUUACCAUUUUCAUUCCAUUCGUGCAUCUUGGUGUCUCUGAUAUUCAUUUCGAAAUAUCAUUUUCAUUUACUACAUUGUUGGACCAUUUUUGUUUCAUAUCAUCGUCACUGUCUCUGGAACUGGCUUAUAUGCGUGUACAAGUUCAUUUAAAGAUAUCAAUAUAUUUAUUUUUCAACAGAACAAUAGAUUAUAAUGUUUUGUUUAUUUCAAAAGUUUUACUAUUUAAAUUAAAACUAUAUUGGGUAUUAAUUUAUUUUAACAUAGAUAAAAUUAUUAACACUGGUGAAUAGUUUUAAAUCAAUUUCUCAUACUUUUAGUUCCGCAUAUUCUCACUUCUAGCUGGGUAACACUACGGUUUGACAUUCUUAUUGCUACUUUUGCGAUUUUAUAAAAUGAAAUAUAAAUAAAUUAUGAGCAUUCUUCACUUCUGGAUUCCAGAAAAAAACAUUCAUGUUUACAAAAUUUAAAAUCUGUGAUAAAGUAUGAAAAACUAUCCAUCAAGUGAAAAGAUUGAUCAUUUGCAUUGAAAUUGAUCCAAAAAUAUCAUAUUUAACCUCUAAAAACUAUAAAGUUUUAAAUUUUAUAAAAAAAAAAUGUAACUUUUCAUUAUGAUAAUGUUGUGGUGAAAGGUUUAAAUUCACCAAAUGAAUUUUUGUGUUUCAAAAUAUUAAUUCUUAACUCAACCAACAAACACCUUAAGUUCAUUGAAAAAUAAACUAUGAUAGGUAAAAAUUGUGAUUUAUUUUUUAAAAUAGUAUUUACUUUGCUACAAAGCAAACAAAUUUGUGAUUUGAACAUGGUAAAUUCUUUGAACUAAACUGUGAUAAUCAGAAGGACUGAAUUUUUUUCUAUUUGCUUUUAAUCCACUUGAUGAAAAAAUAAUAUGAAAAGCUAGCUUUAAUAUUUUUUAUAGAGCAGUAUCUUUUGACUUUUCAGAUUAAUACAGGUAGCCAAUAAAAAGUUAGUAAAGAAAGAGAAAAUAAUUAAUUCAGGAACACUAUUAUGGUUACUGUUUUAAAGCAAAUAUUUCAUGGCUUAAAAUAACAGAAAUAAUAAAACUGCGCCCACCGUGGGGCUCGAACCCACGACCACAAGGUUAAGAGCCUUGCGCUCUACCAACUGAGCUAGACGGGCUUUGUACUUUUUUAAGCUCUUAAUUUUAUUAGUCUUUAUAAUAUUGCACACAGUGUAAAUAAAUAUAUAUGCACAUAUCAUUAAUUUAAAUUAGAAUACUCAGUGAUCUUAAUUAAUAUUAAAUAGACUAAUAUUUUUAAAAUUCUUCAUAUUUUAGCCUUUUGAAAUUAUAUAAAAUCUGAAAUUAUAAAUGCAAAAAGUAGUCUCCCACUUAAUAUUUUGCAAGUUCUUUUCAUAGUUUGCCUGGUUUUGAAUAUUAAAAAAGCAUUGGGAUUAAAAUAAUUUACAAUUAGUUUUGAAAGUAAACUCAUUCAAAACUUCUAAACGUAAAAUAUCAUAGAACUAAAUUUCAACUAAUUUCUAUAUUAAUUUUAAAUAUAUAUAUAUAUAUAUAUAUAUAUAUAUAUAUAUAUAUAUAAUUAUUUAUGGUCCUACCUCUUAAUAUUGAAGCAGAACACUGUCACAAAAAAAUCAACCUAUAUUCAUAACCAAAGGCAGGGCCUCUAGACAGAAGAGUUGAACUUCGUUCCAGCUCUAUUUUUUCAAGGUCAAAUGUUCAUAACAAUAUCACAGAACAAAAUGUUCAAUAGAAGACAUUCUGGGGCAGAACUGUGGAAAUAAAGACAUAGCAUAUGACUACAAACAUUUGCAGAAUUUUUUGGAUGGAGAAUUUUAAUCUGUCAAAAGAAUUUGAAAUGAGUGAUAAUUCAAAAAAUUCCACUUAAUUGUGAACUAACCUGUUUAUUAGAUUAUUAAAUUUGAGUAAAUUCAACAAAUUUUACUGCAGAUAAAUGGUGAUGCAACAACAUUGGAUGCCGACAAAAAUAGAAGGAGCAAUAAUUCAUGUCAUCACAUGUCUAAUUUGAUUAAAGGGACAACACAAGGGAUAGAUGUUUCAAUAGCAACAAGUCACUCAACUCAUUGUUCCAUUUCUAACUGAACUAGAAGCAGCAUAAUCAUACCAAUUUGAGUGAUUAACAGUUUCUCAUUCGUACUCAUGAACCUUUGACAUCAUCCACAUCUGAUGAACUGCAUGAGAACUUCUGAAGCCUUGAUCCUCCCACUUGGACGUUCAUUCUCAACCCUUUGGUUUCUGAUGUCUGCUGAUCCGUAAUCCUUCAAAGACCCUUCCAACGCUCCAAAACUAGAACUAGAAAGUCGUAAAGAUCCUUCAUUUUCACCUGACUCCCUUGCAUCAUCAGUUCCUUCACACUCUUCUACUUUCUCCCAUUUUAUCCUUUCCCUACGCUUCUCCUCUGUCUGAGUCGAGGCAUUGGUGGCUUUCCCUGCAAACUCCUCGCACGUCUUUGCCCUGUAAAACUUGUAAUCACUCGAAUUAAAUGAUUGGCUUCUACCCUUUAUGGUAGCAGGGGAAUCUGCAUCCAUGCUAGAAUUGUUUGCUUCUGUCGAACUUUUGGAGCUUGAUGUUGAUAUUGUCUCACAGGAUCGAAAGCUCGAAGAAGCUUCUAUCAUCUGUGUCCCUUUCAGGACAUACUCAUGGCUUCCACUCGGGUAAAUGAAAUCAUUCUCAGACAAAUCUUGCCACACAAACCCGUUUUUGUAACUCCUAGGAAGAAAAAUCUCGUUAUCAUUGUUAGUUGCAAGAAGUUUGAGCUUCUGAGUGAACUAAAUAAACACGUGUUCUCAUUCACUUUAAGAAUGUAAUGUUCUACUACUAUCAAAGCACAAAUCUUUUUAUCUCAUUCGAACACACACGUUGAGGAGAUAGAAUAGAAAUGUACCUUUUUGUGGACCAAGAAUACAUUGCGGUCAUUCCUUGUCCCCGGAGAAAACUCAAUCUAUCUAUCACAUCUGGUGAGAACGAGAGAGUGAAUUUACAAGAGAAACAGUGAAUUAUAUCUGGGCAUAACUCAAAUUCAGCAGCUAGCAUCUCUAGUUUCCUUAUAGCAUUUACCUUUAAGACAUAGCACUCCUUGUGGAGAUGAGAUUGGAACCUCCAUGAGAUGUGGAUGCUCAAGCUGGCCAUUUCGGGAAAGGUAGUAUAUUACUGGAACUCUGAGCUCAGUUGGUUGAUGUUUUGGUUCAGUCCACAUUUUGGAGCUCUCAGAACCUGCUUCUCUUUCUACCAUUUUUUUCCCUUAACAAAAUAAAAAUAAAAAACAGCAAAUGGAGGCAAUGAGAGCCAAAGUUUGUGAGUGCAGAAUGAGAAGGUCUUGUAUUAUUAUUUGAAAUGGGAAGAUGGGUGUGUGGAAUUGUAUUCUGAAUUCAGGUACUGAAGUGAGAGAGAUUGUUGGCAUUUAUAAUGAAAUGGGCCAGCAUGAGGGAAAGUGGCUGUUGUUUGCGUUUGGCUAAUAAUGAGCUUUCAUGUACCAAUACCAGCAAGUGGCAUGGCAUGGCAUGCAAUUGCAUAUAUUUCACGGCAAGAUGCCAAACCUGUUUUUGAGCUUAUAAUAUUGAAGAGAUGCUACUACUAUGGUUGCAAGUUAAGGGUCAAAUGGUGUUUAUCAAUAUGAAAUAUCAAUCAUGGUACUUGCUCACGGACCAAAGUGAGCUCAGGACAAAUUUUUCAUUUUAUUCGUAUGAAGUCAAAAGUUGUCCCGUGAAACCAUCGCACUGCUUUCAGGGAAAAAAAUGGACUAGUUUCGGCAACCACGCAGAUUGUGCGGAAACUAAUCAGAACGUCGUGCACAAAAUAAAAUUAUAAAAAUGGCUAACUCACUGUUCCUUUACAUAGAAAAUUUAAACGACCAGAGAAAACAACGAACCUCAAACUACUACUAACAACUGAUCAAACGGCAAGGCAUUCUUCAACCGUGUUGUGGAGGAACUCGAUGGCGGUGUAAAGAUAAGGAAAUUGUCGAUGUGGGACAUUAGAUAAUUCUCAAACACUAAAAAAAGUGUCACACCGUUUACAAGAAGAAGAAAAUUCAUAAAAUAUUCUGAAUCAUUAAGCAUCAUUUGGUGCCGUGCCUUCACUUUUGCCAUGUAUAGUAAGUAACAAAAACCUUCCUUGUUGGUGAAGCAUAAGUCGUAAUAAAGGGUUUAUUUUGCAUGACAAAAACCUUAGUAAUCAAGUUUGAAGGCAGUUUCUCAUGUUUUAGCCCAUAGGACAUAGUAAAAAAGAUCAAAUUUUACCUUCUUUUAAAUGGUUUAAUAAACUUUUAGAUUGUUCUAUUUAUUAUAGGAAAAAGAAAGUCUUUUUUUAUAUAAAAAAAAAUAGUAUUGAGAUGUUUUCUAAUAGGAGGGAUUGGGUUGAUACAUUUUAACAUCUCCAUGCAGACAUUUUUUUUUUUUUUUUGCCUUGUACUGCAAAUCAUUCUCUCACUUUAUUUGUAAAUAAAGAAAACUAUUAAAAAUCUUCUUAAACAAUUAGAAUUCAACAAAUGAGUACUUUUUUCCCUGUCCACCUACUCUGUCACUUCUCUCCUGAAAAACUUUAGAUAGAUAUUUAUGGUGAUUAUGCAGUAUAAUCUGUGUGCAGGAAAACCACUUGGUCACGCUAUGUCUCCAGCUGUUUCACUCUUCUCUGAAGCUGAAGUGGCGUGUGAAUGAAAAGAGUACAGUGGCAGAAGGCUUGAAUGAGAAAGCAGGUGGUGGUGAGAGAUGAGAUGAAUGAUGGAAGCUUACGUGUGAUAGGGAAUAAAUCGGAAACAAAAGAAGAAACUGUGGACAGGCACAGCGUGGCAUUUGCAUUGAGCCCUUCAAUGCACAGAACAAGCUACCGGGCCACUAUUUGGAACCACUACGUUCCAAUAUCACUGAUGAGUGCAGACAGAGCAAAUUGCAUGGAGAAGAGGGAGGAGUGUGCUAUUUGUCAUCGUGAGAUGUUUGGCCACUUGUAUUCUUAGAGUCCACAACUGUAGAAAAAAACAAAAAUGAAAGUACUUGUAGUAGAAAUUCAAGAGGGUCGAGCCCAGUUCACCACUUCUAAAACAACAGUAAGAUAAUGAGCAAACAUUUUAAGGUCUUGAAUAACAAUGAUUUUGUAACUUUGUUCAAAAGGGUGUGUGUACUGUGUGCAGAAGCUGUGUAAGCAGUUCCAGUGCCUCGAUUUUAUACCUUACUGUAUUUUUUUCUCUCAGAUUAACAGCUUAGUCCAGAAAUAUAUGUUCACAUGCAGUUUAGUCCUUGAAUGAGUUAGUUCCUGAGUUUAUAAAAUCAUGUACAAUGUAGUCCUUUCAUUGAUACAAAUUUCAUAUUCAGAGACUAACAGUAGAAGAAAACAGUUUGAGGGAUCAAUUUGUUAAUUAAUUUUCUGUAUAUUUUUCUCUAAUACGAGUGAUUUCGAUCUUCCUGACAAUGUGAGAAUCACUCAGACUUCAUUUUCAGUGAGCAGGUAACCAAAAUCAAUGAUGAACAGGUAAGUUUUUCUAGGAAUUCAGUCAUAUUUUUAUUCUUCAUUGGAAAUCUUUGAACUGAUUUGGCUUUGGCAUGGCAGGGUGUUGAUUCUUAUGUCACUGCAUAAAAUCCUAGCCAUAAAAAAGAAAUUAUAUGCAAUAAAAAAAAAUUGACCCUUAGAUUUGUGACUGGAUGUAAGAUCCUGCAGUUUCCUUCCAAAUACAGAGAAUCACUGUCAGGCAUUGAAGCAGUAGCCAUAAUAAUUGCUUGGAUAAGUUGCUUUUGAGGUACUAUGCAGAAUUGGAACCAGAAACUUGGAGGGAGACCCCUCAUUCGUAUCUGUCAGGUGAUAAUCAUCACAGGAAAGUAAGUGCUGAGACAAAUCUUCUUCAUUAGAUUAAUCAACUAUCUAAUCAUUAUUUUUUUUCAAUCUUAUAGUCCUUGAUUCUUGAAAUGCUAGGAGCACAUUCCUUACACAGAAGCAGUGCAAGAAGAAUAUGAUAAUCUGUAAUCCAUUUUUAAGAUUAAUGAAAAAGUUAAUGUGUUUACUAGAAGAGUGAGAAAAGUGAGACAUAUAAAGUAGAAGAAUCUAUUAGUUACAUGUUAAUUCAUUUUUGCUUUGAUAAUUGGGGUCCUCAAUUAAAUGCGAGUUUGAAUUCGAUACAAAAUCUUUUAUAAUUCAUUACAAAACCUAAAGCUAGUUGAUUCCAUUUUCAAUUUUUUGAUGCGACUUUAGGGACCAAAGUUUUGUUUGUCAUCUAAACGUGCACCGAUUGACUGAUCAAACUUUCUUGGCAUGAGUGUAAGUUUCUUAGUUACUGAUAAUCACAUUAAUAAUUUUUUUAAGAGUACGGAAAAUAUAUUCCCAAGUAUUAUUAAAAAAAAAUAUCAAUAAGUCAUCCACAAUAAUGAUUUAAAAAAUUAUUCUUUUUUCAUAUAUUUACAAUUUUUUCAUUCAUUUCACAAUAUUCUUUCUACUUUUUACUCUUUCCUUUUUUAAAAAAUUAUAAAAAUUUACAUAUGUAUAACUAUUUUAUUUUUGUACUAUAUGUUAUAUGUUAAAUGAAUACAAAGUAUGUCAUAAUAUCUUUAAUCCGCCUCUAAUGAUUUUUCUCCAUUCUCACCUGCACUCUGCCAAUUUUCUCCAUGUUCUGUGCUUCAGUUUUUAUCCAUUUAUAAAACUUUCAUCUUCUUUACAAGUACAAAGCUCAGAAAUCUUCUCGUGAAUGAGAAAAAGCUAGUCAAGGAUAAUGGAGACAUCUAAAUAUGAGAUACAACCAGGAUAAGAUGCUACAGAAAAAAAAAAAAAAAAAAAGCUUGAAUUUGCUGUUUGUUAAUUCACACCAAAUUGUCUUAUCUAUCGGUGAACAAAACCUCAAACUAUUAGUAACUUUUUCAUCUCCUACUUUCCUUUGCUUACAGCAAACACAAAAUUUUCAUUUUAACAGGGGAAUAUAAUUAUCAAAAUAACAAGGGGAAGUAAGAAACUGAAAAUCCCGAUCAUCUAUGAAUGCAGCACUAUUGUAUUCUAUAAACUACAAUCAAAUGUCUACGACAGUAAACAAGAACCAUGACCUGGUUGAGUUUUCCUACAUGCUUUAGGUUGUAGUUGCAGCACCUGUUUGUUUCUUAGGACAUUCCGAAAAACCAUGUCCUUUCUCACCACAUUCAUAGCACGUCCUUCUCUUCAUCUUGCCACUUACUGUGGAACUUGAUUUAUCACCAUCAGCUCCAUUCAUCUUGCCACUUCCUGAGGAAGUUGAUUUAUCACCAUUAGCUUCAUUAACUGUCGAGCUUUUACGAGUUCCUGGUUUUUUAAUCAGAGGAACCGCACAACUUAUCCUGACAGGUCUCCCAAACAAAACAUUUUGGUCCAAUGUAAGUGCUGUUUUCAGUGACUGACUAUCACCGAAAUCCACAUGAGCAUACCCUCGAAACUCUCCCGUCUCCUUAUCCAUACCAAAUCGUAUAGACGUUAUCUCACAGUUAUUGAAGAAUUUCCUCAGUUCCUCCUCUGUUAUAUCCCAUGACAAAUUCCCAACAUACACUCUAUUGUACCCCUCCAAAAUUUCUGGAGCAAAAUCCGAUGUUUUAUUGGCUCGCGUUGCUUUAUAUGCUUGGAUUUUAAGAAAGAGUCCUCCCCUGUUACACAUUAAUGUUUGAUGAGAAAUGCGCAAAUACAGUAAAUCAAGAAAGCAAGAAAGAAAAUUGCCAGUGUUACUAACAUGUCAGCUCCAUCAAGAGCCAAUGCCCGUUUAGCUGCUGCUUCGGUCUGCAGGAACAGUGCCACAAAAUUGUCAGUAAGUUGUGGACAUGCUUAUUACUACCAAAGUGAAGUAUAAACUUAAGAAAUAACAUAACUAGUGAGGGAAGAAGAAAUAACCUAAAAAAGAGGUUUCUCAAUUCAAGUCGAAAUUGAAGAACACCAAAAAUAAAGUAACACUUUCAGGAAUAGAGCAUUAUUCGUCACUCACCUUAAAACUAAUAAUGGCAAUCCCUCUAAACUUGCCACUUUCAGGAAAAUACAUGCAAUCAACUUCAGUUAUGGUGCCACAGCUUUCAAAAUAACUUCGAAUAUCAUCCUCGGUUGAAUAAUAAGGAAUUCCUCCAACAUAAACCUUUGUAGGAACAUCACCAUUGUCUUGACUGAAUACACAUCACAGAACACAAACAUUAUAAAACAAAAAUCCCACUCAUAUGAAACAGCGUUAUUCAUGAUGUCAUAAUUUUAUUAUAACCUGGUAGUUGUAUUGGUCUUGGUUAACUCUGUAGCCUCAGGCACUUCCCCUCCACCAUUAGAACCAUUUUCCUCCGCGGUUUUGGGUUUUUUCUUGUUCUUCUUCAGCUUCUUCUUCUUCUUCUUCUUCUUGCUGUUUUUCUGUGGUGUGUUGUCGGGAACUUCGUUUGCCACGUCAUCUCCCUCUACCUUCCUCUUUCUCUUCUUGUUUUUCUUAUUGGCCGAACCCUCUAUUUCAGUUUCAGUUUCCUUGUUGGCUUCUUUUGGAGGAUGUUCGGAAGAUCGAAGCUUUCGGUGUUUGUCUCGCUUGGACAAUCUGGGUGUGGGGGUGGCAGCGUCCAAAAGAGAUUUGAGAGAGUUCGAAGAUGAAGGAACUUCGUUGAUAUUAUUCUGUUGUUGGGCCAAUUCAGCUCUGAGCUUAAGCUUCAGUUUCUUGUUUGAUAGAACCAUUUUCCCAGCCCCGGUUAUGGCUGCAACUCCACUCUCAAACCCUCGACACAGAAUCACAAACAAAAGGGUUUUGGGGAAGACGCAGCAAACGACGCCGUAAACUCGGAGGGUAUAUUUGAAAAAGGCUUUUGUUUUUGGGCUUAGGAAAGCCCACGAGUUACUUGUUUGAGCCUUCAGCAAAAGCCAUUAGUUAUUCCUUCCUGCACCCCUACAAUUACUAAUUACAACCCACACUUACAUAUUAUAUACAUUCUGUAAAACUUACUCUAAAAUCUUGUUUCGAAACAAAUUUCAUACAUUUUUAAAACCUGAAAAGCUUAUUUUAAAACAUUUUUUAAGCAAAUAGUGAUUUUGAAAAGUAAAAUGGUUACUUUAAAAAUCCCGGAGGUUCAUAAAGAAAUUGUACAAGUGCAGAAAAACUUAAACCAUUUCGUAUUUGGACUAUAUUAUAAAAUGUGAAUUGUGCACAUCAAUUAUAAAGCAAGGAGAAUAUAAAUUAAUUUAAUGUUCAAUUUCUUAUAAAAAUACAUUACGAAUCAUUCAAUAUAGCUAUUAAAAAUUAAUAAUAAUGUUAUAUAACAAUAAAUAUUAAUUACUUAAUAUUAUAUAUUCAACCUCUAAGCCAUAAAACCCUGGAAACUGACUUUUGAUAUGAUUUUCCUUAUAUAGUAUCAGUGCAUCAAAAUAUCAAAGUCCCAUCUGAUGUCUCUAUCUUUGGAGGCUGUUCUCUGAUUAACUGAAUUAAUGUUUUUGCCACUGAAAUUUCAUCAGCUCUAUUUGCAAAUCCCGUAAACUUUAUCCCUCUCAGAUGUUCCAAUUUUGUAUAUUCAGUUGCUUGUGUUAAACUUGAUUUGGUCUCUUGAAUCGAAUAACUUGUAGAAUCAUUCUACAUUCAAACAGUGACAGAAAAAAAGAGUCAGAAAUUUAAGUUUAGACUAUAGCAAAACAAGAGCUUCAAUUGAUUUCAAUGCACAUCUACCGUCAGAAAAAGUUGCUCCAAGGCAGGGCAUAAUUUCAAAAAGGAGACCAAGACAUCGAUGCUGUUUUCAGCCUUAUGAUUGUGAAUCCACCAUAGCUCUCGUAUCUUAUAGAAUAUGAAGUUCCCAGUUGGAGAAAUCGAUGGCCAUAUCAAUGUCUACAAGAAAAAGGAAAACUUUCAGAGUUAUAGGUUGUGUGUACUAAAGAUGUAAUAUCCUAAAUCCAUGAACUGCUGUAUUAUAAUACACUGCUAAAUUCACUUGAUAGUUUUGUUAAACCAGCAAUACUUGAUAGAAAGAACAUAUGCAUACCUCAAAAGUCCAUUCACACAGAGUUAGAGUUUCACAAUUCUUUAUUGUUAACAGAGUAUGAUUGAAAUCUUGAGCCUUAAAAUCAGAACAGCUUGGUCCUUGUCUGAAAUCAAGCAUGGCAUGGCUCAGGUUGAAAUGAGAUUCUGGCCAAAUCCUUGGAAGAGGUCCGCUGUAUGUUAAAUUUUUAAGCUUAGAAGUUCUGAGAUGGAGAAACUUCAACUGGGGGCAGUCUAAUACGGUUAAUUUCUGGAGCUUUGAUUCAGACUCAAUGCAUAGAGACUGCAAGCCAGUGCACUCAACAAUCACCAACUUCUCAAGCUGCUCCAAAGUUGAAACGAUGGAGGAAGCCACCGAACUUGCCAAGUGACUCACCGCUUUCAAAUAGAGUGUUUUGACAAUGAAAGUGGGGUGAAAAGUGUGGUGUGUGAUGUGGUCCUUGUUGAGGAUGAACUGAAGUUCAUAGUUCCUCUCAAGGUGUUUGUUCUCACAGGGGAAAUCAAGAAGAAGCUUGUUUUCAGCUGCAAUGGAUGCAAAGAGUGCAGUGUGUUGAGCAAAGUGAAAUUGAAGCUUGCGUGGAUGUUUUAGAGGAUCAUGGUCUUCAAAACGAGCCAGAAAUUGAGCAACAGCAGCAGCUACAUCUUGUAUGGUUCCAUGUCUGACAAGAACUUGGUUCCACAAGUCUCUCCACCUAGUAGAUAUGAGGCUGGUUUGUAGCGUUGAUUCAUUUGGCAGAAAAGAAACUAUGGACCUUAGAACUUCAUCUGGCAAAUUGCUGAAGACAUCCUCCAUGAGAAGGGAAAGUUGAAAGAUAAGGGUAGGUGACUAUGAGAUUACAAAACUCAGAAUUCAUGUGUUCAACUGAUGCAUCGGUCUGAGGACCAUCUUCAUGCGGUUAACGUUAUUUGUUAGAAUAAUAUUAAAUGUGAAAUAAUUCCUAUAUUUAAAACGGAUCUAUCAUACCAGCUCUACAGUACCAUUGUUAAAGAUACAUUUUUUAAAGUAAAAAUAAUCAUAAGAAUUAAAUUUUUGUAUUUAUAGAAAAAGAGAAUAAAAAGUAAUAAAAGACAACAUCAAAUAAAUUAAAAAAAUUUAUAUUUAUCAUUUUCUGUUUAUUAGACUGAAAUGGAUUUGAACGAGAUAAAUAGUGUGGGUCUGCUUAUUCCACAACCUCAUACUUUUUUCUUUCUUACUCUCUUAUAAAGCUAUUAUAUAUAUAUAUAUAUAUAUAUAUAUAUAUAUAUAUAUAUAUAUAUAUAUNNNNNNNNNNNNNNNNNNNNNNNNNNNNNNNNNNNNNNNNNNNNNNNNNNNNNNNNNNNNNNNNNNNNNNNNNNNNNNNNNNNNNNNNNNNNNNNNNNNNNNNNNNNNNNNNNNNNNNNNNNNNNNNNNNNNNNNNNNNNNNNNNNNNNNNNNNNNNNNNNNNNNNNNNNNNNNNNNNNNNNNNNNNNNNNNNNNNNNNNNNNNNNNNNNNNNNNNNNNNNNNNNNNNNNNNNNNNNNNNNNNNNNNNNNNNNNNNNNNNNNNNNNNNNNNNNNNNNNNNNNNNNNNNNNNNNNNNNNNNNNNNNNNNNNNNNNNNNNNNNNNNNNNNNNNNNNNNNNNNNNNNNNNNNNNNNNNNNNNNNNNNNNNNNNNNNNNNNNNNNNNNNNNNNNNNNNNNNNNNNNNNNNNNNNNNNNNNNNNNNNNNNNNNNNNNNNNNNNNNNNNNNNNNNNNNNNNNNNNNNNNNNNNNNNNNNNNNNNNNNNNNNNNNNNNNNNNNNNNNNNNNNNNNNNNNNNNNNNNNNNNNNNNNNNNNNNNNNNNNNNNNNNNNNNNNNNNNNNNNNNNNNNNNNNNNNNNNNNNNNNNNNNNNNNNNNNNNNNNNNNNNNNNNNNNNNNNNNNNNNNNNNNNNNNNNNNNNNNNNNNNNNNNNNNNNNNNNNNNNNNNNNNNNNNNNNNNNNNNNNNNNNNNNNNNNNNNNNNNNNNNNNNNNNNNNNNNNNNNNNNNNNNNNNNNNNNNNNNNNNNNNNNNNNNNNNNNNNNNNNNNNNNNNNNNNNNNNNNNNNNNNNNNNNNNNNNNNNNNNNNNNNNNNNNNNNNNNNNNNNNNNNNNNNNNNNNNNNNNNNNNNNNNNNNNNNNNNNNNNNNNNNNNNNNNNNNNNNNNNNNNNNNNNNNNNNNNNNNNNNNNNNNNNNNNNNNNNNNNNNNNNNNNNNNNNNNNNNNNNNNNNNNNNNNNNNNNNNNNNAUGACAGAGAAAAUAUUGGAAUGAAAGAGAUGAAAGAGAAAGGUUGAGAGGAAUGAGAGAGGUGGAAAAGAGAUUGGAGGUUUCUUUUUUUAUUUUUUUAAUUUUGAAAAUGAAAAUUAUUAAAAUACCCUUAACCUUAAAACUUAGAAUUCAUGAUAUAAGGGUAUUUUUGUCUACUGAAACCUGGUAUACAUUGCUAAAAUGUACCAACUGAAAAACAGACGUACGCAAGUUAGCAAACCCCUAUAUAUAUAUAUAUAUAUAUAUAUAUAUAUAUAUAUAUAUAUAUAUAUAUAUAUUUUGGUAUUCUUCACACUUUCUUUCUGUUCUUUUUCUUUUAUUUGUAAAUUUCUCUUUGAUUGUAAAAGAGUGACUUUGGUAAUACCUAAAAAAUAUCGACAAUGUUUGCAAUAGAAAAAAAAUGUGAAAAUAGCAACAGCCACAAAUUUUCAGAAGUACCCCGUUCAUGAUCAUGACUAUUUAUGGGCCAGCCCACCCACCCUACCUUAGCUAACUCUAAAUAAACAAUGGUCCCAAGGCUAUUUCUUUCAUCCUCUCAUAAUUACUAAUUGCAAUUCUAUAAUAAACAGAAAAGGACUGACAUUUUUUCACUAUUACACCAUACUAUUGUUUUUGUUGCCACUGUUUUUAUCAUCACUGCUACCGUAAAGAAAGAACAGAGGAAGAAGAAGAUAGGAAAAAUGCUUAAAAGAGAGAAAAUGUGAAAAAAAAAUUCUUCCGAAAAUUUCAUUCCAAAAAAGAUAAUGAUACUUUGAUAACAUUUUAACAUCGUCUACGUAUCAUUUUGUUGUUGGUUUAUGUUGAUGUUUAUAAUUAUUAUUAUUGAUUGUAGAGUAACUUUAGACCAAUCACGUAAUAACAAGUAGAUGAUAUUAAAAUGUUGUCAAAGUACCAUUGUUCUUAAAAAAACUUGUAAUUUGAGGGACCGGAACAGUGGAGGUGCAAGAAGUAAAAGUGAUUGUUCCAUUGUGGCAUUACGGGCAUUAUCCAUUGAGAGAUGUUUAGAGAAAAGGAGAAAGAAAAUGCUUGGUUGUGAUAUAAGGUCACAAGCAUAAAUUCUAUCAUACUGCAUACACUAUCUCAGAAGUGAAGCUCUAAACUACUGUCAAGUAUGGUACUUUCUUCAUGCUCUUUGACUUGGAUUUCACCCUCAUUCUCCCCUAAGGUCUGUCACACUAAUUCUUUCUAUUCAUAAACACAACCUUCUCUUCACACAGCUCACGUUCAUGCACUCUACUUUCCACUGUUUCAGCUAAACUUGCCACAUUCAAACUAUUUGCCUCGCAAUACUGAAAUUCCGUCUUCCAACAACACUGCCUUUUGUGCAUUGGAGACAAUACCCAGUGAAGAAAGUAAGAACUUUGUAAUAUUACUACUACAUCUAACAGUUGAAAUAUCAUUCCUCUUUUAUCUUUUAAAGAUAAAAUCGCAGUCAAUAACUUGAUGUAGGGUGAUUGAGCUUGAAGAUGUUGAAAAAACUUAUGGAAUGUCUUGUGUGAUUUUCAGGCCACUGCCAGAGAAGACCGCUAUUGCUGGGAAUUGGAGCUUUAACUGCAAAUUUGCAACUGACAAAUUUGGUAUUUGCUCAAGGUAUUCACGCCUGCUAAUGUGAUCAUAUUUUGUGUUACUAAGUUUCAUUUCACCAAAAGGGUCUUUUGUUAAACCAAGAGACUAGUCAUGACAUGGUCUUUUGCAUUACUCUUCGUCCUGUAGAAAAACCAGACAGAUACCAAGCUUUUGUGGACUACGAAGAUGGGUAUUCUUACGUAUAUCCCAGAGAGUGGAAGGUAAGAAAUGAGAACCACGUUAAUCUUAUCAGAAACUCUAGUCACAACCAUAUAAUUUCCUGCAAGUUUGAAUGUCUCGUCUCCCUAGGAAUUUGACUUUUUGGCUCAUGAUUCUGCCUUCAAAGACAAAGUCCUACAGUUACAGAAUGUAAGGGUGAGAUUUAUACCAACAGAGAAGAAAGACGUCCGAGAUUUGGGUCCUAUGGAAGAGGUGAUGCUGGAAAACUGUGUUCUGAUGUUUUUUGUGAACUCUGCAGUCUACUUUGUACUAAACCAGUUUGCAUCUGAAUCAGGUAGUAUACUAUUUGGUGAAGCAUAGAUAUGCUGCACCAAACCAAAGGCCAACAAUAAAUGGCAUGGAGGAGGUUUCUACUUUAUUAAUUUCUUGACAAUGCUUUUUUGUAUUAGAUAUGUAUCUAAGAUUUUGAUGGUCAUCAGUGAAAUAACAACUAUUUUUGACUUGUGAAUGCAGCGAACCAUAGAUGGAAAACAUUACUAUACCUUUGAAUACAUACUUACAUCACCAAACUAUGCUAGUGGCUCUUUUGCAACAAUUGCCAUAGGAAAUGGUGAGUAACCUGGCAUGGCGGCUAUCUGAAUAUGUGACCUUCGUAGGGUUAUAUACCUAACAAAGAAGGUGCACCUUUUGCAGGAAGGUACUACACGUUAAUUGUGGGAGCCAACGAAAGGCGAUGGAAAAGAGUACGAGAUGAGCUUAAAGUAGUGGCAGAGUCUUUUAGGCUUCUUGACAUAUAAAAUGUCAUGGGACAAUGCAACCAAGACUUGUUUAAAUAUGCCUACUGUUUUUUAAUAUUUGUAUAUCAGUAAAUAUUUAAUACCAAUACUAAUUGUAUUCUUUAUAGCAUUGAUUAAUACCAAUAAGACGAUAACGGAGCGUAGGACACGUGUUAUGUGGUGUGCAAACAAACCUAAUUUGUUCCUCUUCUCUCUUUAUAAUUAGGAUUUAGGAGUAAAAAAUAUGUUGUUAUUUAAGAUAAAAACUACAUUAUCGUAAACCCUGAAUUUUAGGAAUUGGAUUUGACUGGUUCAAAUAUUUUUGUGAAGGUUGUUAGCAUUUCUUACUGUAUAAACAUUACGUACAGAAAAACAAGGAGAAAAGACUUCAUCUUUCCUUCUUAAAAUUCUGCUACUCGAAUAUAAACAUUGCGAAAGAUUCAUGUUUAAUAGUUUUAAGUAUCUUUCCCUAUAUAAUAUCGAGCCAGAGGAUUUGCUGCCGGGAGAACGUAUCAUAAUUUAAAGUUUCUUUGUGGACAAAAGGUGCGCUUCAAUCUAGACUUUUUCUGAACCUUUCUUCUAAAUAUAUUCUUCAUCUUUUAUGAUUAUUUGGUGGCUUUAAUAAUUAUGCAUUGUUCGUAAUUGUUUUCUUCGAAGAAUUGUUUCUUUUUCUUCUGUACCAAUUAUGUGAAACAUUUUGGUAUUCUCUUUUCGGGUUUUUGUAUUUUUUUUUUUAUCUAGCAUCGUCAGAAUGACAAUUUUUUUGUUACCCAGUGAUCUCCUUGGGACUGUGCCCGUUGGAUGUCUUGGAAUUCUUUGAGGAACGGGGAAGAAAAAUCUCCAAGUAGAUUUGGGGUGACAAAUAAUACGAUAAAAAAAAACUGUUAGGGAAAUUAUUGGACCAAUUACAUAGUAUAACUAUUGGAAGAAAUAAAACCAUAUCUAACAAAUUAUGGACAUCACGUUGGUGGGAGGAAAGAACCCUAAAUACAAUUACAAAGAAUCAUGAGUUCUCACGAAAUGUAGAACCGAAGAUUGGGUGUGAAGCAGUUCCUUAAAAGCUAUGUAAACCCUCACAUGGAAUAAUGUAGUGUCAUUCUCCACUCAUUUGUCUAUAUAUAAGCUCAUUAGUUCAAAACAAAAAUAGAAAUUAAUUAAGAUAAACAACUAUAACAAUGUAUCAAACUAGUUGGUAAAAAUACACGUGGAAAUUGGCAUCUAUAAUUAUCUAAGGACAAAAAAACUAGAGAACUCGUGUAAUUCAAGCACUAAAAGGAACUGCUUCUAAACUAUGGCUAUGUAUAUACAGAGGUUUUACAACAACACUUGAGACUGUAUAUUCUACAAUUUUCACUAAAGUAGAAGAAAAAAUACAGGAGUGAACAAGAUGACGAUCCACGCUUGAGAGACUGGAAGAGUGAAAAGGAAGUCCAAUAGAAUAGAAGAGUAACUCGGCUGAAUUAGAGUUGAUGCCGCCGCCUUCCUCUCGUUGUAAAACAAAAUGAAUAUGCCGUGGAGACAACACCUUGGGUCAGCCUAAACUUCUUGCCUCCAAAAGAAUACGGAUACACAACCGACCGAAUCCCAGCUUCCUGCAUUCAAAUCCUACACUAUCCCUGCCACAGCACCCUCUUCCUAUGCCUAUCAAUGCCUGAGUGCUGAUCCCAUACUCCCAUUAUUGCUACAUGCAAGCCUCCACCUGACAUUGGAAGAUUCCAUCAGGUGCUGCAAUCACCAGUCAUUCAACUCAAGUAGUUUAUGAAACAAUUCUCAUGAACCAACAUUAGCUGCAACUACUCACAUUGCAUACUCCCAUUCUAAACAAGCCGAUGCUGACGCAAAGCCUUACCAAAAUGAGGUUGCAUCAAUCGGACAUACAGACCAUUUUUUGCCACCAAUGAAUCAUGUGUCCCCUCCUCCACUAUCCUUCCUCCAUUUAGAACUACUAUGUUGUCCACGUGCCUCAUCAUUGCAGCUCUGUGUGCUAUUAAAAUAGUGGUUUUGUUUCCCAUUACUAGGGUGUCUAGAGCCUCUUGCACCACUCGGCUUGACUCAGAUUCAAUUGAUGAACUAGCUUCAUCCAGCAACAGAAUAGGAGCAUUUUUAAGAAUUACCCUUGCAAUUGCAAUUCUCUGUUUUUGUCCAGGGGUUAAGUCAACACCUCUCAUCCCAACAUGAGUGUCAUAACCAUGAGGCAAACUACUGAUGAAGUGAUGAGCAUUUGCUAUUCUUGCAGCCUCCUUUAUUUCAGCUUCACUGGCAUUAUGCCUGGCAUAUAUGAUGUUUUCCCUUAUGGUUGUUGAGAAAAUAAUUGGUUCCUGCUGAACCAGACCAAGGUGGCUCCUCAACCAUCUCAAAUUAUAUUGCUUUAAAUCCCUUCCAUCUAGCAAAACUUGGCCAGAAACUGGAUCAUAGAAUCUCUCGAUCAAAGAUAUUAUUGUGCUCUUCCCUGACCCCGAAACUCCCACUACAGCAAUUGUUUGCCCUCCAUUGACUUUGAGGCUAAAAUUGCUUAAUACCAACACUUCUGGCCGGGAAGGAUAACAAAAAUCAACAUUUUUCAACUCAAUGCUCCCAUAUACAUUGGGUGGCUUCAUUGCUUUGUUAUCAUCAGGAUCAAUCUUAGGCACACGAUCUAUAAUUUCAAACACUGAUAUGAGAGAUUUACGUCGCUUAAGUAUGUAAGGAGCCAACCCAAAAGGCUCCACAAGGGCAAAUGUAGCAAAUGAGAAAACCAUGUAUUCCUUGAGAGCAGUAGGUGUAUCCACAUAUUUCUUAUUAACACAAAUUGCAGUGUACCAAAGUAGAAGGGCAUUACAUGCAAAGAGCAGAAACUGUGAAAAGCCAAAUGCAAAACCAAUGGCCACUCCAUGAAGAAAGCUUUGCUUAAAUAUUUUAUUUAACUGCAACUGGUAGAGUUCCAUCACCUUAUUACCAGCACAAAAUGCAACAACAGUGUAAAUAUUCCUAACUGCGUCUUCAAGAACCAAGGAUGCCUUUCUGUGCAUUUCUUGUAUGCCCUUUGAAAAUCCAGCAAGCCACAAUUUCUGCAACAUUAAGGAGACUGCUUAACACAUGCAUCAUGCUAACCACAAGCAAAUUAAUAAAAAGAUCUUUAUCCAUAGCCAGUAUUAUCAUCAGUCAUUCACAAAAGUCAGCAAAAGCAGGUCUGUUAGCUAUAAUUAUUGAAAUUAAACAUAAAUCGACAUAAAUAAGAAUUUCCAUGAAUGAAAAUGAAACCCCCAUAAAGAGGUAUAAGUAGCAUUCAAUAAUGGUACUCUCGAUCCUCCAAAGACACUGUCAAAUUACACUAAUUACAGCCCAUUGAUUACUCAAGCACAAACAGAUACAUUACAAAUUAUAAUUGAAAUUACCCCAAUGGUUAUCCCAAUAGCACAGAUAAUUCCAAUAUAAAACUUCUUAAAGCAAUCACAAUUAAAUGUGCUUUAGUUUUCAGUAUUCAACGAAAUGCAUGAAACAUUGUUUUUAAUUUCACAGUGAAAUAUACACAAAUGAAUAAUACAAAAGAGGGUGAUAGAGAUAUAAACUGAUACACAAAGUGAAACAUUGUUAUUUUUCCUUUUAUUAGCAAGUCUUGCACAUACAGACCCCAAGGCAUAUCAUGGUUUUUGGAUUUGUUCUGGUAGUCUCACGACAUUCAUGAGGCAAAGGAGACAUUACAUUAAUUGGUCAUGAUCACUACCAAUUAUUCAACUAACUUCCCUAAUAAUCAUCACAGUAAAUGUGAAAAAAGAUAACAGACCAACCCACCACCUUGUGCAAAAACACAUGGCUGUUGUUGAUAUGAAAGGAUGUGGAAAAUAUGAAUUUCAAAAUAAAUAUUUUUUUUAAAGACUGUUGACAUGAAAAUGAAAUACAACCUCAAUCCAACAAUCUGACAAAAUUACAUGGCAAAAUCAGAAAAGCAGUUGCUAACCUGGGCAACAGCAGAAACACAAAGAAUCGGAAGUGUUGCUAAAGCCACAAGUGCUAAUCGCCAGUGCAGCAAAACACCAAUGAGAAAUGCAACAAUAACUGCAGCACUGUCCUGUAUAAAUAUGGAAAGGCGGUUACUGAAAGCUGCUCGCACAAAUGUAGCAUCAUUGGCCAAGCGUAUUGAUAGGUUGUCAGCACUAUUUUCCUCUUCAUCAAACCAUCCAGUUUCAUUGCGAAGCAUGGCUGCAAUGUUAUUAAAACAGGUUAAGUAUAGGGCAUAAGUCCAAUAUGUUUUUCUUCUAAAUAAUAACAAUUCAAAUUUACGCACCUGAGAACAUCAUUCUCCUAACUCUUUCUGUCAUUUUCUCCCCCAUAAUACCAAAGUAGAAAUGCUGUAAAAAGUUAGCAACAACCGUCACAAUACCCAUGCAGGCAAUGAUCAAGCACCAUUUGUCUAUCUCCCUUUGGAAGUGAUGUUCUUCAUCAAUUUUAUAGUAAUCUGUCACCACCAGACCAAUAACAUAGGCAAGAAGGGGAUUGAAAGAACCAAAGAUAGCAGCACCUGUGCUUCCUAACACAGCAUAAAGCCACUCUGCAAAACUAAGUUCUGCUAGCCUCCAUAUUGAGGGUUGUUUUCGAUGCCUCGCAUCCUUUGUUUCAGUCAUUUUCACCGAAAGAUCACCAGAAUGACUAUCAGGCCUGCUAAAAGUCUGUGAAUGGGAGCGUUCAUUUUUAGGAUCAGAUGUUAAAAGAGGUGAAACAGGGGAUUCUGGGUCAGAACCAUUUGACUUUUGUCUAUGCACACAUUGAACAUCAAUCUUGGGUAACUCUGGUAGUCUCAUUUCAAAACUAUCCUGCCUUUUAAUUGAUGGCUCCUUGUCUGUUGAAUCUCCAUUUUCCAUCAUCUUCUCUGAUGGUGGGCUCCGAAUUUUUGGUGAUUCUUGUGAAUUAAAAAAGCCAUCCGAAGGCCGAAAAAUGGCAGAAACUCUUUGAAGAGAGGGUGACUUUAUCAUUUUAGGAGAUGAAGGUUCUUUGAAGCUGUGACUUUCUGAAGAAUCCUUCUCAAUUUGGAAAGUUGCAGUCUCCUUAUAGUUUCGAACUGGCAUCCUGGAUGACAAGAAAAAGUGAUUUUUCAUCAAGCAAAUGACGAAAUCUUGCAAAUUAUAAAAAAACAGUGAACUCAACCAUUGUGUAACAAUUAUUAGUUUAUUAUUAUAGUAAAACAUUAACAGACUUAUGGUCACCUUAACAGUCACAAUAUCUAUAUCUUAAAAGUCAUGUUAUAUUCUUCACAAACAUAAAAAAGUCCGUGGCAAAAGUUGAACCGUGAUUUGAGGUGGUAACAAACCUCUUGGGAAGUUUUGUGGCUUCUUCACAUCGAAGAAGCUCUGCAUAUAAGCCGUCCAGGGUCAGUAACUCAUCAUGUGUACCCAUUUCAACAAGUUGACCAUCCUCCAUGACAGCUAUAUAAUCAGCAUUCUUUAUAAGACUAAGCCUUCGAGCAAUUAUUAUCGUUGAGCGUCCCAACAUUAGCAGGUCCAGAGCUUCCUGAACAGACCUCUCAGCCUCAAAAUCAAGUCCGCCAGUAACCUCGUCAAGAAGAAGAAUGGAUGGAUUUAAAAGCACAGCUCUUGCAAUAGAAAGCUUUAUUUUCUGCUCUUCUGUUAAAGCUAGACCUGCCCUGCCAACCUGAAAAGACAGAACCCUGGUUUAGGAGGUGAAAAGAGAUUCCAACCAAAAAGAACAUAAUUGAAAUACAUAGGUUUCAUCCAAAACAACAUAGGUUUGAUACAAUCAUUUACAUCAAGUUUCACCUGUGUGUCAUAACCUUUAUCUAAUGAGCUGAUAAAGGUAUGUGCAUGAGCUAUUUUAGCAGCCUCUUCAAUUUGAUCCAUGGUAGUAUCUCUGCCAUAAGCAAUGUUGUCUCUUAUACUCAAACUGAGUAAAGCAGGUUCCUGGGUGACCAGUCCUAUCUGACUCCUUAACCAUUCCAGUUUCAUAUUCUUUAUAUUUUCACCAUCUAAAAGAACUUCCCCUGAACCAAAGAUAGGUAAAUUUAUUUAAAUGAGUUGACCUAUAAAGUGUUUUAGAUGUGAUAUAGAAUAAAUUUGCACCAACAACGGGAAAAAAGUACCUAAAGUUGGAUCAUAGAAUCGCUCCAUAAGGGGAAUAAUACUACUUUUACCAGAGCCAUUUCUUCCAACAAGUGCCACAGUCUUUUUAGCAGGAACAGUGAGAUAAAACCCACUCAAGAUAGGGAUUUCAGGGCGAGAAAGAUAACUGAAGUAUACAUUCCGAAACUCUAUAUUUCCUUGCACAGAAGCUGGAGCACUGCCAUCGUGAUUAAAAGAUGAGGAUGACCGGCUAAUCAUCUCAAAUAGUCUAUAGGCAGCUAUGCGCCCUUGAUCAAAUGAGUAGAAAUUUGUCGCUGCUUGAUUCAAUCCCCUUAAUCAUAUUAACAAAAACUGUAAGAACAAUGCAAAACAGAUAAAGAAAAAAUAUGAGUUGGGCAUGAUGCUCACAAGCCACUGAGAAUCACAGCAAACAGAGCUGUUAUAAUUUCACCACCAUGAGCUUUUCCAUGUAUAACCAGGAGCCUUCCAACCCAGAGUUGUAAUGCACAAGAACAUAUUGCAAGUCCAUAAGUAAAACCAAGGCCAAGCCCUUGAACAAGACUUAUCAAUAUACCAUAUCUAAGAGUAGCUUGUAGCGAUGUUGCAUAUGAAUAUUUAGACAAUGUUUCAUUUGUAAAUGCAUACAAGGUCCUUAUAUAGGAAACUGCCUGCAUCACAAGAAAAUAUACAUAUUCAGAACUGGUUGCUAAAACAAUUCAUCUAAUAAUGAGAACAUUACCUUUCUUCCCAUUUCAUCAAAUUCAAACCAUUAAAGCAAAAAUACAUAUAAAUGGACUGAUUCUCCAAACUUAAAGAUAAAUAAAGAAAACCAAGCAAUGGUAUUCAUUCACUUCCAACCACAAAAUAAACCUAAAAAAAAUUCCAUUUAUAAUCAACUAAAUGGCACUCAUGUGUAUAAUAUGUAAAUUCAAAACUAUUUGAGAUCUCACUUCGACUAAGAUAUGGUCAAAUUAUAAUAUAUAAGUCGGUACAAUCUUCACCUUACAAACCAGCUUUGUGAGGUUGAUUUAGACCUAAACCUACACUUUCUAAGAGACAACUAAUCCACAAUUACAAACAAUAAAUUACCAGCAAAAAUCAAGAAGCAUUUUACUUUAAGGAUACCAUUUAACAAAUUUGGGACUUAGUUUUCAAUUCCUAAUUGAAGGAACAAAGGAUAGGAGAUUUGUGCUCAACAUGUCAUAGUCAGAAAAGCAGAGCAUUCAGCAUUGCAAUAUUUGGUUGCAGCAGAAUGCUGGCAUAUUUUAGGGUGUUUGUGUGGCUUUAAAUGUGUUAAAGUAUGUUCAUGACUUCUGUUUGGCAUUAUGCUCAUGUCUGCUUGAAGGAAGUUGCAAAUAUGCCAAAAGAUAGGGUGAUCUUUCUGCAAUACAGUUUUCCUUUUAGAAGAAUAUCUUAUCAAUCCCCCUAGUUGUAUUUUUUCUCUUUUCUUUCUGACAAGUUCUAUUUCAAUCAAAACAUGGAUACCAUAUGACCACAGCAAGUUUCAUUUACAUAACAUGGUAAGAAAGGCAUAAAAUUUGAUUAAAUCAAAGACCUCUUCACAGCCCAAAUUGAAAUACAUAUACUGGAUGAUAGUAAAAGGAAAGAUAUACAGUCACAUACAUGAUACGAGAAACUUUCAGACAAUAAAUCCUUUCUUUCUUUCGGUGGUUAGUAAAAUAUUAAGAUUAAAAUCAAUUGAAAUCCACACCUGAAUUGAAUAUGUGUGUGUGUGUCAGUGUACAUAACAAUCAAUGGUUCAAUGCAAGAAUGAAGUCAAGCUUAACUACAAAUAACCUGUUCAGCAAUGCUGGCUGCUUCAGCAUAUGCAUCUUGAAUAUUCUCGGCAAGCCUGUGGAGGAAUAUAUUUGAUAUUCCUCCUGCAGCAACAAUAAAUGGACCUGUAGCUAAUGUUAUCAAUGCAAUCUGCCAACAAUUGAUAAAAGCAAUAACAAGACCACUGAAGAAUGUUGCCAUAUUAUGAAUAUAAUUCCCAACCUGUAUCAUCAAAAAUCAAUACACACAGUAUAAAAUAUGCGUUGAGAUUUUUCUGGAAAGAAUAGCAAAUUUACAGAGGAGUGAAUACUGAAUAUACACACAAGAGCACCACGAACCUUUUCACUAAGAGCAGACUGAAUGAGCAGCACAUCACUUAAUACUUGACUCACAAUGUCUCCAUUAUUUCCAUAAGUAUCAAAAAAACUCAUAUCUUGGUUAAGUAAUACUUGGACAUAUUUUGAUCUGAUCACAGCAGUCUGCCGUUCUCCAGUAAGAAUCCAACACGAAACCUCUAUUAAUCAAGAAAGAUUAGUAUUGAACGAAACUUAAAUGUAACAUCUAAUAAGAAAUAUUCCUUGUAUUAACUUACCAAUCCAACCAGCAGCAAAAACUCCACCAGCAAUAUAAACAAUGGUUAAAGCAAGCUGUAGAAAAAAAACAUAGGUAAAUAAGCAUACACGUCCAUUUUUCAAAUCUUGUUUACAAACUAUGCACCUUGACAAAUAAUUAAAUUCCUAGUUAUGAAGUCAUGUGGUUCAACUACUAAAUUAACCAGUUCAAAAAUGGACAGCCAUACUCUUCAGAUCCUUGGUGGAAACUGAUUUAAAACAAAAUUUUGAAAUUUUGUUAAAUUUUGAAAUUUUCUAUGCAAGGUCAACUUUGCAAAUUUUCUAAGGUUAAAUUCAAGCUUAGCUUGAUUUUUAGAAAUUCCUUAUCCAAGGAGGAUAAAUCAUAUCCAUCCUAUUUAAAAAGGGCUAACGUUUUUCCACUUAAUAGAACAACUGUAUUUAUAGCACCUGAAAAGAAAAAUGACUGAUCAGAUUUAUGAAUAUAAGGAAGAAAUUGUUCCCUUCUAAGUUGCGUGCCUUUGUAUUGUUAUGCAACCAAACCCUAGGUGAAAGGCCUGUUUUAUAGCCUUAUGCUUAUUACCUAUUGUUCAACUUACUAAAGUUUUGCUCUUCACCCAAGACUUAAUUUCCUUGACAAAUAGAAACAAAAGUUCAUCCCAUCAAUAUCCUGAGUAAUCCUUGUUUGACACCAAAGCCAUUAUUGAUACCUUGUACAAAAAGGUUACUGUUCAAAGCUUACAAAUAUCCAGAGAACUAUCCCUUAAAUCCCUUCCUAUGCCAAAAAUUUGCCCUGCCUUUAACAUAACCCCAGAAACUCCAAUCAACAACAAUCUAUGUAAACAUGAGAUGAGAGGGAAGAGAUUUUUUAAAUAGUAGCUUUAGCUCUCAAAUUCAACCAGUAAGUGAGUGACCUUCUCAUGGAGAAUCUUAUCGGUCAUCAGGUGGACAAACCAGGCUCUACUUCGCCACCCAUAUAAAUCUGUUUAUAUUCCCACUGUCCUCAUUUUCUUAACAACUUUUCUCAUGCUAGACAAAUAAACUUCUACCGUCACUUUUUAAAUGAUUAAGUAAUGAAAUCGUUGCUACCUAACCCCGCAAACAAAGUAAAUUUAUAACUACAGAAAGAUAGGCUAAAACAUAUUUGAAACACGGGGUUAAUUCCGAGGACACUUGUGCCAAAUUGCCAAUGCUGAGUUUGGAACCCUAAACAGAGUGUCAUAGUGCCCCUGAUGACUUGGGUGAUCCAUCCACGAACUACUCUGAGCAGGACAAUAAACCCUUACAGAAAGGGAAUAAACUUAUAACGGAGAAAUGAGGGAAGGGCUACACUAUCCCUUACUUAGGGUAGUCAGGUCAGCUUUUAACGAAAGUUAAUUGCUCAAUUACCUCAAACUGCACGGCAACCAUGGAGAUAAAAACUACAAAAAACUAAUAGCACAGUACACGAGACUUAAUUUCACUGCCUAAGGUAAGCGGAAUCAAAUUCUUAGAAACUAACUAAAAUCCAGAAGCUGCGCACAACAACAACUAGGGUUUCGAUAGAAAACGAAACGAAACCGAACCUCCUUGAACCUCUGAAUCUGAUCUUCCGCCGAAAACUGCUGAGGAACCCAGAGAACCUUGGCGAAGUAAUGCAAGUAAACGACGAGAGCGGUGCCGUGCGCGGCGGCGGCGAGGGAGCCGACGAUCAUGAGAAACCAGUCGAGGCGGUCGGCGCAGGCGAAGAGGUGAGAGAAGGGAACGGCUGCGGGCGGCGGCUCAAUCUCUUCAGCCUCCUCCAUCUCUUCCUCGACCUCCAUCGGCUGCGAAGCGGAGGUCUCGGCCCCGAGGUCCAGAUACGGCGACGGCGACUCCGGCGGCUCCGAAACCUCGGAUACCGGCGUGAGAGGCUGUAUAUGUGGCGGGGACCACCCGAACAGCCCCCGAGAAACCAUCAUAUCCGAUCUCAGCAGCCCCAGCUACUAACUCGCUGCGAUGAAGAAUAGAGAAACAGAUCGCAAGCGAAUUCAGAGCGCCAGCUCCUUUCUCUCUUCUGUUGAGGAAACGACGACGUAUUGAACGCCGUCGAGGUGGUUGUGAGUUGCGAGGUGGCGGCGUGUGGUUUGACUCGGUCAAAAAAGAGGUACAACACCUUAAUCUCUUCCUUUUAAGUUUACGACCCUUCUUCGAUUCUUCUUCUUCUUCUUCGGCUUUGCUUUCUGUUUUUUCUUUUUUGUUUUUUUUUUAAUUGGGGUUUUGUUUUGAAGCAAAUAAUAAUAAUAAUAAUAAUAGAAGAAUAAUAAUAAUAAUAAUAAGAUUACAGCGAGGUUGUGCUGUGAAAUUGUGAAGGCAUGCAUGCAGCAGAGCUGGAAAAAAUAAAGAGAGGGUGUUUUGGUAAAUUCCCCGGCUAUGAUGGCGUUGGUAAAUGUGUUCCCAGCUGGAUCCUAUGCCAUGAAAUUACGAUGAAGUCCUUGCUAGAGACGUUAGAGUGACACGCGUUAGAUGCUGGUAUGCGUCUUCUUCUUUAAUAAUUGCUUUAAUAUAUAAAUUAUACAAAUUUGUUAGCAAAAUGAAUUAAAAAAUGGAGAGGCUUUGUUUCAGGUAAGAGCGUGCGUGAUUGAUGAAAAGUGAUUUCCUCUUAUUCAACCAAAUACUUUAUUAUAUAUAUAUAUAUAUAGCAAGUUAAAAUUUAAAAAUAUACUAUAUACUAUGCUCACAUUUUUGCGUAUUUAACUUUUUUUCUUAGAGAUUCCGAGUUUUGCUAAAAGGGAUUCAAAAGUUUCCUUUUUCGUACAAAACUAGCAAAGUUAACAAAUUUGCCCAUGGUAUUUGGUACAUACUUACAUCCACCCUUGUUAAAGAUGAAAGAAAUGUAAAAUGCUUCUUAUUUUCAAAAUAAAUAAGAACAAAACUGCAUACACGAAAAUAGGAAUUGUAUUUUCAUAACUACUGUCAAAAUCCCACAUAACCUUUUUCAAGUAAAAUUUUGUUUUAGAUCAAUAUAUUUAAACAAAAUACAAAAUAAUUAAAAACUCGUUCACUGCAAACUUAAUAAGAUUCAGAGUGGAGUAAAUACUUUGGCAUUAAAUAUGUGUUCACGGAAAUAUUUAUAAUAAAGUAUGAUUAAAAUUGAAAAUUGAAUUUUAAACUAUGUAACAGAGACAUUUAAGUUUAUUAUUCUAGAAGUUAAAGUAAAUUACAAUAUAAUUUUUACCACAAAGCUAUUAAAUUCCAAUAUAAUUUUUACCACAAAGCUACAGCCAAAAUCACACAUAAUAUAAAGAAGUUGAGUGAGUGCCGCAAAAUUAUUUGGAGAGAUUUAAAUGGACACGAAAAUAAAAAUUGACACCCAUGAACCACAACACUAUUUUCCUCACAUUACGAAAAGCACAUAAACAUAAUGUUGCCAAAAACAUACAAACCAAAAUGUAAAACAAUGAAAACUUAUUUUUUAAGGAAAGACGGUUCUUGAUAAAAACACUUGUAAACACCAUUGGAGAAGCCUUCAGCAGAUCCCCACCCUUAAAUAAAAUAAAAAACAUGAACCAGAAAUCUAAACUUUUCACAAUUUACCUAACCAAUUUAUGAUAUAAAAUGAUGAAUGAGGAAUGAAAGAAAUAUUAUGAAAUUUGCAUAUAAUAAAAAAAAUCCAUAUUCCCUUGGUUGAAUUUGUGAAACCAACAUCUCUUAACAAAAAAAAAAAACUCAUAUUCGAAACUCUCAACACAUUAAAUACUCAAAUGUCAAUUUAUGUUUAACCAACACUGAUUUUUUACAGCUCUUAACUUUAAGAUGAGUUUGGGAUUUGAAUCAGGUUUUUUUUUACGUAUAAUAUAUAUAUAUAUAUAUAUAUAUAUAUAUAUAUAUAUAUAUAUAUAUAUAUUAUAGUUUGAAAUGAUAUAUGAAAAAUUUUAUAUCGAUUAAAAAAGAUAAAUUUAAAAUAUUUAAAAAAUAUAUAAAUAAUUUUUUAAAUUGAUUUUAUAAAGAUUUAAAAAUCACUUAUGAGAUAUUUUCAAUAAAUAUUUAAGAAUGUAUGAACCAUAAAAAAAGACCACAAUUCCAUGCAUUGGAUAUUGACUUAAAAUAAGAUAUUAAGUAUAGUGUAUGAAACACUGAGCCUAAGAAUGAUUCAUGAGAAAAACAUCAGUCAAAACCGUAUUUGACUGUAGAUAAGCCUUCAGAAGAUUCACACCCUAUAGAAUAGGAAGAAAAUAAAAUUAAUGAAUCAUGAUCCAUUGUUAGUUAAAAAAAGAAAAAAACUCCAACAUAUUUGUAAGAGAUUCACUAGUGUAAAAACGUUGUUGAACGUCACUCCAUAGAUGUCGGUUAUUUGGUUCACUGAUGUAACACGAUGACCAGUGGCAACUUUGUAAAUAAGUGGGGCACAUGGACGUCAGGGCUCGAUAUACCCAAUGAGUAAAAAAUUAUAUACGUCGAGGAUCUUAAACAGAGACAUCUAAAUGUCUACCAGGUAGGUGAAAAGUUGAGAUAUAAACGUUGGGGUGAGGACAAUGCGACGUCUAAAGGUCUCAGAGGUUGGUGAACAGUCACGAGUUAGACGUCCAGUAACACUCAUAAACGUCUCUAACCUGACAGGUAGUUGAGUGUCAUUAAUGGUAUGCAACAUAGACGUCGGUGUCACUCCUAACCGACGUAUAUAGCCUGACAGUUAGGUGAAACUGUAAUAAUUAUUCUGCAAUCUAGACGUCGGUUACCAGGUAACGUACGUCUAUGUCCAAUUAGACGUCAGGUGCACAUAGAGCUGACGUCUAUAAUCCACGUCAAUAUUAAUAUUUAAAUCAUAAAGACGUCAAAUUAGUGAGAGGACUGACGUCUGUAACAUUAUAGACGUCGAGCUCGAUGGCGAACCGACGUUUAUAUCAACUUAUACUUCAAAACGCGAACCCGCAAGCAAUUACCACUAUCCAUCGUCUUCUUCGUCGAGCUUUUCUCUGCCGCGACAUUAUAUUGGAGGUUCGUUUUCUUUGUUUUUGACCGUUUAAAUUUAGUUUUGCUUCGAUUGAAUUAGUCUUCGAUGAAAAAUCUUUCAUUUGAACCAAUUAAAAUUAGAUUUGGUUGCAUUUUGUUGCAGUUUCUGGUGUCGUGUUGGGUUGUGUUUUGGACUGCUUUUCUGACCUAUAAUUGGGUGUACACUACUUCAUCUCCCUCAAUUGGUUAUAUAUAAUAUGCUAAAAAUGUUAGCUUGUUUGUUGAAAACUUAAUUUGUAUGAAUAUUAUUGGCUUUUGUGUAUGCAUGUCGGCAUUAGUGAAUUUGCAUUAGUUGUGUUAUUAUAAUUGGCAUACAUUAGUAUCAAAUCACCGAGUAAUACUUAGUUCCCGUUGGAUUUAACACAAACGAUUAAUCUUUUAAUCGUUUGGAAAAAUUAUUUUUAAUAAAUUUGAUGUAACAUGUUGUCAACACCAAAUUUCGUCCGAUAUCUAAACAAUAUAUGUUUUUUGUUUUACUUUUUACUUUAUUUUGUCUUUUUAUCAUUUUAUUUUUUUUAUUAUGUUAUAUUUUAUUAUUUAGAGUUAUUUCAUUUUUAUUUUAUUUUUUUACGUUGGUUUCUUUUUGCUGUUUAGUUUUAUUUUUAUAUUUUUUAUUAUUAUUAAUUUUUUUAAUUUUUUGUUGUAAACGUUGACAAAAGAAAACAAAAAAAAGGUUUUAAAAAAAAAGAAAAAAAAGAAAUCGUAACAGGAAUAGCAGACUGGUGCUUCUCCCCAUUCUGAGUCCAGGCAAUCACGAGUUGAGCUCUAUUCUCUGCAACGUACGACCUCCCUCCUGCAACAGAGGCGUAGCUGCAACCAGAUCAUGGGAGAUACGCCCAGAUCAUUCUGAAAAGCAGGGAAGAUACGCCGAGAUCAUUCUGAAAAGCAGGAAAGAUACGCCGAGAUCAUUCUGAAAAACAGGGAAAAAGGGCUUGGAGGGUCAUGGAGGAGAUCAAAAACACUAGCUUGGAGGGCUGCCUGGGAACUUCAGCAAAAAAAACACACAAUAUCAAAAAAGAGAGGAGACCUUACGGCCAGAAGGAGAACCAUUUGCUUCCAACCUAGCUUUCCAACGCCUGCAAGAAUAUUUUCAGCAAUCCAAAGAAUAUUCGGUCUAAGGGAACAGAGAGAGCAGAACCAAAAGGAAAGGUUUUGAAGCUGCGAAGGUGAGUCUUUGUAUACCUAAGCUCUGGUCACGCUCAUCCAUGUGCUCAUGAAUAUGCUUUCCUUGUGUGUUAGAUGAACGAAUGAUAUUUGAUUAGUGUAUAUAGUUGUGUCGGUUUAAUCUGUGAUAUCCUCUGUCAAUCAGGAAACUGCACCCAAAAUGCAAUUUCAAUGCUUGCAAAACCCACCAUAUUUAACUGACAAUAGGACAUAGUGCAUAUUCCCCAACAUCAAAACCUGAAUACCCUUCUACCUGCACCCAGAAAACACCAUAGAAAAAUGCAGCAAAAGGAAACUGAGGCAGAUGCAUUUCCAUAAUAGAAAACAUGGAAAACAAAAGCAGUUGUUCCCGCUAACAAACUAUGGGUCUCCUUCAAUCUGGGUAACAGCACACGCUGCAACUACCCUCAAUCUCGAGACCGCCUUCCACCUGAAACAAACAAACCAAAUAACAAAUCUGCCAUUUUAUUCAAGGUUUCCCCUUAAGGUUUCCCCACAUUCCUCUUUUCGGAGUAAAUGUCAACCGUUUCCCCAAUCCAUAGUUUCUUCUCGAAUGAGUUGAUAGCCGUUGGGCUGCUGAUUACUGCUAUACUAGUCGCACUCUAUCUGAACCUGCAAAGGGGAAAUGAUGCAAGUUGGGAGCGUUCACACCUUUAAUCACGAACCCAAGCCUGCAAACCAGUAUUUAGCAGACCACAUUCCAGAUUCCCACCAUCGAGGUUAAUGAUAGCAGAUAAACAACUUUGUUUCUGCCAUGGGAGAUAGUUAGUUGUAGCUGAGUGUUUUACCUUACUUAGUUGAGGGUCUGAGAGUAAGAGAAAGGAAGAGAGGGGUGAAGAAGGAAAUCGUGUUUGAGAGGAGGGUGACUCUUCAGGUGGCUGGCGGUGGUCGGUUUCGCCGGCGGCGUUCGGCGGAGGAGGGAGAGAGCUUCCCGCGUCGAACCGAAGAGAAGAAAAGGGUUCUCAUUGCUGGUGACUCACGGUGGCCGUGAGUUGGGACGGCGACCUGCGACGAUCUCGACGGCGAACGGUGGUCCCGGUGGCGCCCUGACCUGCGACCUGUGGUGGCCGGCGUCGUUUUCGAACAGGGGGAGUUCCUCCCUCGCACGCGGAAGAGAAGGGGGAUUUUGCUGCGUUGGAUGGUAGCUCCGGCGGCAAGUCGCAUCGCCGGCGCGACCCUGGUUCGUGGUCUGACAGGCGGCGACUGGGUACGGCGAGAAUGGAAGGCGAGUUCUCCUCUCGCAUACGAAAAGGGAGCAGGAAAGAAGAUCUGGCGCCGCGGCCAGCGGCGAUCCUGGUUGCCCUUGGGGCCGCCGGCGACGUCAUGGACCAGGCGGAGGGUAUUGUUGCGGUGGCCGUUUGUGCAGAGGCGGUGGCAACUGGAGCUGCUGGUGGCCGCGUGCGGAGGAGGCGCGUCUAUCCCUGGGUUGCGUUUGGAGGAGAGACCCUAAGUGUCUCUGGGUCUGCUGUGUGAAUGUGAGGCUUGGGAGAGAACCCGGGCUUGGGGCCAACUUUCUUUCCUUUUUUGGGUGUCUCUUCCUGCACCUCCAAGCAUUUCAUUUUCCACCUCAAAUUUCCUAAAAUACCCUUAAUUAAUAAAGUGAUUAUCUGUUAAUAAGCUUUUCACCUGCACCUCUGUUUCUGACUUAUUAAAAAACCCUGCACCCCAUCUUCUAUAGUAUGUCGGAUGUCCAUAUCCGAAAAGGAGUCUAUCGGAUAUUCAUAUCUGAUGUGUUCGUAAAACCAAUAUAAUUUCACUUUGAAAGCUUGUCUGUCUCGAGGAUUGAAUUCAGAUAAAUUCUAAAAACUAGUAGCUGUUGCGCUUAACAUCCUUGGCAUUUUGAAGAUGACAAUAAUUUGAUACAGAGAGCAGCUUACAAACUACACACCUGAAGCGUGUGUGGAAAUUGUUCCAUAAAAAGGCACGAUCUAAAAUCUCAGAGAUAUUGCCUGCCUUUCGGUAUUAUGAUUACUGCUUCCAGCUUUAAGUUGUUAUUCUAUAUCAAUAAUUAAUUAAUUAAUAUUAUUUAACAAUUUAGGUUUGUUUUAUAAAAAAGUUAAUUAUUAAAAUAUUUAAAUAAAUAUAAAUUAGUAAUAUUUCUUUAAAAAAAUUUACAAAUUAUAAAAAGUAAAACAUAAAAUAAUUGAAAACAACGAAACUUAAUAAAAAUAUAAAUAAUUAAUUAAUUUAAGCAUAAAAUUUAAGAAUUUAAAAUCUUAUUAACAAUUAAAAAAAUAAUAAUGACUUAAAAUUUAACCAUAACAUUUUUUUACAAAAAAAAAGAGUAAAACACUAAAAUAAAAUUAAAAACAAUAUGCAUAGGCUGGUGAAAGGUGAAAGGCCUGUUUCGGAUGUCGGUAUCAGAUGUAGUCGGUAUCGCUUAUGGACAUCCGAUACAGUUUUUUGCGCGUUUCAAAUUCGAUGCUUCGUCAAACAACCCAGAUCAAACACCCACAUACAGAUCAAACACUUCAAUCACCUUCUAAUCAUUCAAUGUACAUAUCAAUCAACAAUCAUGGAAAACACGAAAAAAAAUUUAAGAAAACGAAAAGCAAAAAUGGAGGAAGGAGACGGGUGGGAUGCACCAACGAAGAUGAAAAGGAAGUCGUGCCUCUGCAAAACAGACCAAAAAAAAGCACAAUCUGAAAUGUAAAAAUGAGGAAGAUGAAGUUGUUGCAGAAAAGAGAAACUGAACCUGUUUGCGUGAUGUUGUGCGAGAAGAAAGAGCUUGAGAUCUUUUGUGAGUUCGUGAGUGUUGUGCGAGUGAAAGGACAGCAAAUGGUGGUGCUGUGCGAGAGAAAGGAGACCAAGCUGCUGUGCGAGAGAGAAGAGAGAAAGGAAAGCAAAUGUGAGUGGUGCUGUGAGCAAAUGACAUCUGACACACACAAACCUGAAAAAAGAAUCUGAAACUCAAAAAGAAUUCAUGACUAUUCUUAACUAUUUCAACAAAAGUUAAUCCACAUUCUAAUUAGGGGCUAAACAGGUAUUUUAGUAAAGUUUGGAGGUGUUGAAGACGCAUGAAACACUCUUCCAUUAAUUAAGCCCAUUAAGUAAGAUGAAACACUCCCCAUUAAGUAAGAUGAAACAGGUAUUGUUUAUUUAUUUUUUUUAAAGAAAAAAGGAAGAUUGUUAAGGUGUAGGGUAUUUUUGGAAUAAAGAAAAUAGUGGGGAGGUAUAGAAUAUUUUUGAAAUAAAUUAAAUUAAUGGGGAGGUACAGGUCUUACUUGGGGAGGUGUAGGGAGUAACACCCUAAAAAACCUUCUCUUAAGCCCAUUUACAUUUCUGCAAACCUUUUUAUUUGCUUUACUUACUUGGUGCACCCUGUUUUAUUAUAUGUUUACAUGCUGGUUUAGCUUUCUUUUAUGCAUCCCAUAGUUACUAAUUCUCUCCAUGUUAUAUAUUUUAUGAACUUUAUCUACUUUUUAAAUAUAUAAAUAUUAAAAAUAACCAAAAAUAUGUUUAUAAGGUUAAAGCACACAUGCGACCGUUCGUUUAUGCCUUAUGCUAAAAGCUUUUUUUUUUUUUUACAAAAAUAAUAAAAAUAUGUUUAAAAGGUUAAAGCACGUGUGACCGUUCGCGUAGGCCUUGUGCUAAAAACCUUUUCUUUUUUUUUCAAAAAAAUAAUAAAAAUAUGUUUAAAAGAUUAAAGCACACGUGCGACCGUUCGCGUAGGCCUUGUACUAAAAGCCUUUUUCCCAUCUUUUAUAAAAAUAAUAAAAAUAUGUUUUAAAGGGUUAAAGCACACGUGCGACUGCACCGUAGGCCUUGUGCUGAAAGUCUUUUUUCCUUUUUCUUUCACAAUAAUAAUAAAAAUAUGUUUUAAAAGGUUAAAGCACACGUGCGUCCGUUUGUGUAGGUUUUGUGCUAAAAGCAUUUUUCCUUUUCUCUUUCACAAAAAUAAUAAAAAUGUUUUAAAAGGUUAAAGCACAUGUGCGACCGUUCGCAACCGUUCGCGUAGGCCUUGUGCUAAAAGCCUUAUCCUUUUCUUUCACAAAAAUAAUAAAAAUGUUUUAAAAGAUUAAAGCACACAUGCGACCGUUCGCGUUGGCCUUGUGCUAAAAAGUUUUUCCCUUCCUCAUAUAAAAAUACCAAAAUAUGAACAUUUUAAAACAACAAACAAUUUUUCAGCUAGAACUACGUGAUCCUUGAUUCUUCAUCCAAAGUGGAGAUACGUAGGAGCAAUGUCAGUUCUUGUCACUUCCCAAAAAUCCAAAUCUUUUCCAAGUAACUUUUCUCAACAAUUUUUCCAAAAAUAAAAUAAAAUUAGAUUUUGUCUUUUAGAAUCUUAUUUUUAGGGGUAGUUAAACAUUUCGAAAACCACAUCCAAUUUGCGUAUUUAAUUAAAGGUACUGUCUUAGGGCAGGCAUUGUAGGGUACUAAUACCUUCCCUACACGUAACUGACUCCUGAACCUAUAAUCUGGUUUUCGUAGGCCUUGCCUUAUUAUUUUAUGGUUUUUUCCAUAGUUUUCCAGAAUAAACUAUGGUGGCGACUCCAAAACUCUUUUUCAAAACCCGUUUCAUUUUUGAAUCAUCGUCUCGUCGCGAUUCCGGUUGUGACAAGUAGUUAUGAUUUUCUAUUUAUUAGGUAGAAUUUUAUUUUAUGAUAGAUUAAGGAGAUUUUAAUUGUAAGACAAUUAAUAUUUUAUUUUUAGAUUUUAUUUUUAUUUUGGUAAUACUGUAAAUAUUACGGCUAUUUAAAGUUCUUCAAUUAUCAAUUAAAUAGUGGACAAGUUUUAGAAAAGUAUUUGAGUGUGUACUUUGAGAUUUUCCUAACACUUUUAUCAGCAUGACAUCUUCUUCCUCCAAAUUGACUCUGAAAUUGCUUAUCAACGCUAAGCGUGAGAAGGUCAUGUUCGCAGAAACAUCAAAAUCGGUUGUAGGCUUUCUCUUUAACUUGCUCUGCUUGCCCAUUGCUACUGUCAUAAGGAUUCUCAACAAGAAUCAAAUGGUUGGUAGCUUAGGCAAUCUGUAUGAAAGUGUUGAGAACUUGGAUGAAACUUACAUGCAACCAGACUAGGAUAAUGAUCUAGUGUUGAAACCAAGUGCCCCCAUGUCUUCACGAAUCUUUGGUCUUCUUCCUUCAGUUAAUGACAGUUCUUCAAACAACUCCACAGAUGUGUUCUAGGGGUGCCCAAUUCACCUUGGUUACGACACCUUUGAUAACACCACUCCUUGUCCUGAUUGUAGUAUACCUAUGGACUUGGAAUUGACUUUUGUUAGUGAAAAGGUUGCAAAUGAAAUUUCUGCCAACAAGAGUGGUUUUGUGAAAGAUGUAGUAACUUACAUGGUGAUAGAUGAUUUAGCGAUUCAACCCAUGGCAAGCAUAUCAAACAUUACCUUACUUAACAAAUUCAACGUCAAAGAGGUUGGCACUUUGCAGGAAAAGGUAGGCGAGAUAGACAUGAACUAGGCAUGUUUUUGUUUAUAAAAUAUGAAGAUAUCAUUAUUGCUCUUCAGGUUUAAAACAUAAUUUUCAAUACAUAUUUAACAAUCUAUACAUAAUAAAUAAGACCACAAUUUCAUUCAUUCGUUAAUGACUUAAAAUAAGAUAUUACUCUGUCAAAACCUAUAGUGAAGAAUGAUUAUCAAGAAAAACAUCUGUCAAAACCGUAUUCGACUGCAAAGAAGCCUUUAGAAGAUUCACGCCCUAUAAUAUGAAGAAAAUAAAUUAAUGAACCAUGAUGUAUUAUUAGUUAACGAAAAUAAAAAAAGAAAAUUCCAACAUGUGUGCAAGAGAUUCACGAAACCCUUUACGUUGUACAUAUUAAAUUAGGUAUAUGCAUAUUUUAUAAACAAAAACAUGUGUGGUUCAUGUCCAUCUCAACCACCUUUUCCUACAAAGUGUCAACCUCUUUGACGUUUUGGCGUUGAAUUUGUUAAGUAGGGUAAUGCUUGUUAUGCUUGACAUGGACUGAAUCGCUAAAUCAUCCAUCACCAUGUAAGUUACUACAUCUUUCACAAAAUCACUCUUGUCGACAAAAAAUUCAUUUGCAACCUUUUCACCAACAAAAGUCAAUUCCAAGUCCAUAGGUAUAUUACAAUCAGGACAAGGAGUGGUGUUAUUAAAGGUAUCGUAACCAAGGUGAACUGGACACCCAUAGAACACAUAUGUGGAGUUGUUUGAAGAACUGUCAUUAACUGAAGGAAGAAGACCAGAGAUUCGUGAAGACAUGAGGGCACUUGGUUUCAACACUAGAUCCUUAUCCUGGACUGGUUGCAUGUAAGUUUCAUCCAGAUUCUCAACACUUUCAUACAGAUUGCCUAAGCUACCAACCAUUUGAUUCUUGUUGAGAAUCCUUAUGACAGUAGCAAUAGGCAAGCAGAGCAAGUUAAAGAGAAAGUCUACAACCGAUUUUGAUGUUUCUAUGAACUGGACCUUCUCACACUUAGCGUCGAUAAGCAAUUUCAGAGUCAAUUUGGAGGAAGAAGAUGUCAUGCUGAAAGAAGUGUUAGGAAAAUCUCAAGUUACACAAUCAAUUUUUUUUUUUAAAAUUGAGUCUAUUAUUUAUUGAUAAUUGAAGAACUUUAAAUAGUUAUGAUAUUUACAAUAUUACGGAAAUAAAAUAUUAAUUGUCUUGCAAAUAAAAUCUGUUUAAUCUAUCAUAAAUUAAUAUUCUACCUAGAUAAAUAGAAAAUCAUAACUACAUAUUCCUAUUUUAUAUCAGAUCAUGAUAUUUUAACAAUUUUUCUUAACAACUUUUUAACAAAAUAACAUGUGUCAUCAUUUUAUUGAUCUGUUUGAAUUUAUUUUUAAAAAAUAUUUGAAACGGAUCAACACAAACUACCAUGUAUGCGUUGUAAAAAAAGUUGUCGAAAAAAUUGUUAAAAAGAACUUUUUCUUUUUUUAUCUCUAUGAAAUCAAUCCGAAUUUGCUUUUGUUUGUACCCAAACAAGAAGAUUUCACUUCCCUUUGUUAUUUUUUUCUAAGAAUAAUUUUAUCUUUGUUUUAUCGGUUAAAUUUAAAACUUAACUCAAUAUUUUAUUUUAUAUCAUGUAAAGAAGUUGAGUGAGUGCUGCAAAAUUAUUUCGAUAAGAUCUAAAUGGACACGAAAAUAAAAAUUGAUACCCAUGCAUGAACCACUAUUUUCCUCGCAUUUUGUAGGACUGAGUGUCAACACCCAAUUUCAUUCGGAUAACUAAAUAAUAGUACUUAGUUUUUAUUUUUGUCUUAUUUUCUAUUUUAUUAUUAUUUUACUUUGUUUUUAUUAUUUGAUUUCUUGUAUUAGUCUUUUUUUUUAAAAAAAAGGAAAAAAUAAAAAUAAAAUAAAAAAAGCAAAAAUGAAAAAAAAGAAAAAAAAGAAAGAAAAAAAAGUAAAAAAAAAAGUAAAAAAAAAAGAGAGAUUGAAACAUGGAAGUGUGCACAUGCAACCACCUCAUGUGCAUAUAUAUUGGAUUCAAUGGGGCUGCACGUGAAGUAAAAACCAAAAUUGGAGUGUCCAGCAGCAAGUCCAGGAGGAGCAGUGGUCCAACAGUUGAAUGAAAAACCCACACAGGACAAGCAGAGACGGGGGGAAUUGGCUGACAGAGGAGACACGUUUUCUUUGCUUCCUCCCUGGCGAAACAGAAUUGCCUCCUCCCUCACGCAGACACCAAUUCUCAAUCCAUCCUCCACCUCAACAAUCAUCAUACACACCAUUUUCCACUCCUCUGAUCACCACCCCGUAAUCACCUAAUCAGAUUUCCCUUUUGGUUCCCAAUUCCUCAUCUCUAACAGUAUUCAAAUUUCAACCCACCUUGACCCAUACACUGACUCACCAUAUCACCUCUAACCGAAACAGAUUCACCAGACACACCACUCAUACACAUCAACAGAUUGACCUCAUACAUUUUUUUUCUCUCCAUCACUGAACAGGCACACGAGACCUCACGAUCACGCACAAUCCACAUUCCCCCAUCAUCACACCCGUAACGACCCCAACAAACAUCCACAAUCCUACAUCUCACGGCAACACACACAUUCAUUCUAGCCUUGCCCAAUCUGAUCACUCAUCAAAACACACAACACUCCCCUUUGGCUCACCACUACCUCAUGCCUAACCCGGUACCACCAUUCCUCCAGUAGGUACAAGAAUCCAUCUUCCAACCCCAAACUUUAUCAUCUCCAUUCCUAACACAAAAAACAGAGAAGCUCAUUCACACCUCAUCUUCUUCUUCCGUUUUAAUCACCCACACAUUCACUCACUACCUCCUCCAUCAGAAAAACAAAAACCAAAGCAAAAUAGAGAAAAAACCCAAGGUCUUAUUUCACAGAGACAGAAAAGCAUUCAAAGGAAUUCAUGGAAUCAUGGUGUCAGCGCUGGAAAUUGCUAGCUUAUUCUCCAUGCUGUUUGAGCUUCUGUUGACUCAAUUGAUGAAGCUCUUUCAUUGGGCAAAUUUUAAUGGAGCUUGAGCCAAUACCCACACAGAGCGCGUUAUGCUAACCUGUGCUCUCUAAUCCAUUUGCGCCGUUACGCCGGCGGCGAGUCCGAAACGCAUCAAGCCUUCAACCCUGAUCAGAGUAAAAUAACAGAGCAAGAGGAGUAGCAGUCUUGGAGUCGCAUCUGUGGAGGAAACGAGCAAGGGUUUUGCGUCCCGGUGUUCAGAUAGUCUUCUGCGAUGAAGAUUUAGGCUGACGGUGUCUUUGGGCGAAUGGCAGCAAGAGCGGAUAGUCUCUAGAGUCAGGUUUUGGUCCACACUUGGAAAAGACGGCAAGAGAAGGUUGGACUGCUAUCAGCGGCAGCGACGUUUCCGACGCAGACGAAACAACCGGUGAACCCGAGAGAAGUGGACGACGACGGCGACAGCGCUUCUGUUGCUCUUGGUGAAUGUUGCAGUUGAAGCAUCCGGAAGAACCCUAACGCAGAUCCCCUCUCAACGGCGCAACCAGGUUGAUCAUUUGAGGGGCGUUUCCCUCUUGCUUGCGAAGACGAGCAUGGAGGAGGAGUUCGGCGUUGCAGUCGGCUGUGGUCCCGUCGAUGCUUGUCGUCACCGGCAAAGCUGUUGACGGUGGCGGCAUAGUGGCUGGAGAAACAAACCCUUCGAGAGAAGGAGAAUCCAACUUGGAGCCUCUGUGCUGUUGGGUGCAUAAUGAGAAGAAGAAAUUCGAACCCCUUUGGGUUUCUAGGUCAGGAGAGGGAUUUGGGCCUGGGUUGCCUCUUUGCUUCCUGGCGACAUGCACUUCCUAUUUGCACCUCCAAUCCGUUUCUGCAUAUAAAAGGGGCUUGGGCCUGGCUAUUGGGCUGCGGUUUCUCUGCCUGUCACCGUGCAACUCUAUUUGCACCACCUUUUCCUUUCUGCAAACAAAAACAAGAUUGGGCCUGGGCAGGCCAUUUCGCGCUGCACCACCAAAUUGAUCAUUACACCCCUGGCAGUCUCAACUUUGCUGAGCACCCCUGGUUUAUUAUCUCUGCACUCCCCUAUUCUUAUUAGGCUUGGACUAUGGUUUUUUUAUUGUCUUUGUUUUUUUAUUUCUUUAGCUUUGACAUUGUUUUAUUAUUGUGUGUUGUUAUAUCCCUUUGCUAAUAAAAAUAAAAAUAUAAAAAUCAAUAAAAAUAUUUUGGAAAGAUUGAAGCACACGUGCGACCGCUUGCGUAGGCCUUGUGCUGAAAAUCUUUUUCUUUUCUUUUACAAAAAUUGAGAAUGUUUUGAAAAGAUUUAAGCACACGUGCGAUCGCUCGCGUAGGGCUUGUGCUGAAGAUCUUUUCCUUCUCUUUUACAAAAAUCAAAUAAAAAUGUUUUGAAAAGAUUUAAGCACACGUGCGACCGCUCGCGUAAACCUUGUGCUGAAGAUCUUUUCCUUCUCUUUUACAAAAAUCAAAUAAAAAUGUUUUGAAAAGAUUUAAGCACACGUGCGACCGCUCGCGCAGGCCUUGUGCGGAAGAUCUUUUCCUUCUCUUUUACAAAAAUCAAAUAAAAAUGUUUUGAAAAGGUUUAAGCACACGUGCGACCGUUCGCGUAGGCCUUGUGCUGAAGAUCUUUUCCUUCUCUUUUACAAAAUCAAAUAAAAAUGUUUUGAAAAGGUUUAAGCACCCGUGCGACCGCUUGCGUAGGCCUUGUGCUAAAAACCUUUUCUCUUUUUAUAUAAAAAUACCAAAAAAAAUAUAUAAAAUUUUCAAAAACUAAAAACAUCUUCAAACAACAAUCUUUCUGAAAGAACUACGUAACCCUGAUUUCUCAUUUUGAAUGAGAAUACGUAGGAGCAAGGUCAAUCCUUGUCGGGUCCAAAAACCAAAAAAAUAUUUUUGUUUCUUUAUAUUGUUGUUUUCGGGAUAGUUAAAUAUUUUGCAAACCACAUUUUUAUUUGCGCAUUUAAUUAAAGGUACUGCUUUAGAGCAGACGUUGUGGGGGUGCUAACACCUUCCCCACACGUAACCGACUCCCGAAUCGAAUCUCUGGUUUUCAUAGACUAAGCCUUAUCCUUUUUAUGGUUUUUUCCAUAGUUUUCCAGAAUAAACUAUGGUGGCGACUCCAAAACAUUUUUUCAAAUAGUUUUCUUUUUGGAUCUUCGUCCCGUCGCAAUUUUCCGGUUGCGAUACUGAGUAAAUGAAUUUUAAACAUAACGUUUUCAUAACAUAAAAUUACGAAAAGCACAAAAACAUAAUGUUGACAUAAACUUCCAAACCAAUACGUAAAACAAUGAAAACUGGUUUUUUUAAGGAAUGAUGUGCGAUUUUUGAGAAAAACACUUGUAAAAAAAUAUUAAAUAAAAAACAUCAACCAGAAAACUAAACUUUACACAAUUUACCUAACCAAUUUAUAAUAUAAAAUAAUUAAUGAAUAUUAUGAAAUUUGCAUGUGAUAAAAAUAUCCAUAUGCGCUUUGGUUAAAUUUGUAAAACCAAUAUCUCUUAAAAAAAAACCAUAUUCAUAAUUCUUUAACAUAUUAAAUACUCAUUAAAGCAGUCAAUUCAAGUUUAACCACCAAUUGUUUUUACAGAUCUUAACAUGUAAAAUUAAGUUAUAAAGUUAAAGUUCAUUUUAUGAUAUAAACUGACACCCAUGAACCACGAUAUUUUCCUCACAUUUUGUAGGAUUGAGUAAAUAAAUUUCAAACCUAAUGUUUUUAUAACAUAAAAUUACGAAAAGCACAUAAACAUAGUGUUGCCAAAAACGUCCAAACCAAAAUGUAAAACAAUGAAAACUGAUUUUUUAAGGAAUGAUGUGCGGUUCUUGAGAAAAACACUUGUCAACACCAUUUUCGACUCCGCAGAAGCCUUGAGUAGAUCCUCCACCCUGUUUCAAACAGCAAAACAAUUAAAUAAAAUAAAAAACAUGAACCAGAAAACCAAACUUUUCACAAUUUACCUAUCCAAUUUAUAAUAUAAAAUGAUUAAUCAUGAAUGAAAGAAAUAUUAUGAAAUUUGCAUAUGAUAAAAAAAAAAUCGAUAUUCGCUUGGUUAGAUUUGUGAAACCAACAUCUCUUAACAACACUAAAUACUCAUUAAAGCUGUCAAUUUGUGUUUAACCAACACUAAUUUUUUACAUAUCUUAACUUUGUGAUGAGUUACGCACAAACAUUAGUUUGAAAAGAUAUAUGAAAAACUUUAUAUCGAUUAAAAAAAAGAUAAAUUUAAAAUAUUUUAAAAUAUAUAAAUAAUUUGUUAUAUUGAUUUUAUAAAACUGAAUUAGAUUUAAAAAUCACUUUUAAGACAUUUUCAAUAAAUAUUUAAGAAGGUUUCCAUCUUUUCUUCAUCUUCUUUUUUUGUUCUGUAAGAAGGUUUCUCUCACUUUUCUUCUUAGCUCGACAAUAUUUAAUCGUAUGAUCGAGCUUACCACCAUUGUAGCACUUCCUUGAUCUACAUUCAUAUCCAUAGUGGCCAUGCUUGCCACACUUAAAACAUUUCACUUCUGACUGAUCUCCUCGACCUCUUCCUUGUCCUCGGUCAUGCCAAUAUUGUUGACCGGUUUUCUCAUCAUUGCCUCUACCACGUCCACCUCGUCCUUGUCCUCGGCCUCCUCUUCCUUUGUUGCCAGGAUCUCGGCUCUGAGUAAUCCGAGAUUUAUUCGAGUCAAACUGUACCUGUAGUGCUUAAUCGUUGGGUUUAACCUGAUCAUCCCAACUCCUUCUCCUUUGUUUGUGGGCUUUUAAUGAUCCAACAAGUUCAUCCAUUGUGAGAACCGACAAGUCCUUCGAUUCUUCGAUGACGCACACGAUACUUUCGAAAUCUUUUGUAAGAGAUCUCAAAAAUUUUUCCACAACUCGGCUAGAUGGCAUUUGUUCUCCAUUCCUGCUGAGUUGGUUGGCCACCUUCUCCAUCUGAAUUAUGUACUCGAUUAUAUGAUCUUUGGACUCCAUCUUCAACGGUUCAAACUCUUCUCUGAUAGCUUGUAUUUGGACUUUUAAAAAAUGGAAAGGCUUUGUUUCAGGUAAGUGCGUGCGUGAUUAAUGAAAAGUGAUAUCCUCUUAUUCAACCAAAUUCUUUAUUAUAUAUAUAUAUAUAUAUAUAUAUAUAUAUAUAUAUAUAUAUAUAUAUAUAUAUAUAUAUAUCAAGUUAAAAUUUAAAAAUAUACUAUAUACUAUGCUCACAUUUUUGCGUAUUUUACUUUUUUUUCUUAGAGAUUCCGAGUUUUGCUAAAAGGGGUUCAAAAGUUCCCUUUUUCGUAUAAAACUAGCAAAGUUAACAAAUUUGCCCAUGGUAUUUCGUGUAAAAUGCUUUUUAUUUUCAAAAUAAAUAAGAACAAAAGUGCGUACACGAAAAUAGGAAUUGUAUUUUCAAAACUACUGUCAAAAUCACACAUAACCUUUUUCAAGUAAAAUUUUGUUCUAGAUCUUAAUAUUUAAAUAAAAUAUAAAUAAUUAAAAACUGAAUUUUCCUGCAAACUUAAUAAGAUUCUGAGUGAAGUAAAUUCUUUGCCAUUAAAUAUGUGUUCACCGAAAUAUUUAUAAUAGAGUAUGAUUAAAAUUGAAAGUUCAAUUUUAUACUAUGUAACAAAGACAUUUAAGUUUAUUUUUAGAAGUUAAAGUAAAUGCCAAUAUAAUUUUUACCACAAAGUAUUAAAAUUAAAAAUUAUGGUAGGCAUAGGGUGUUUUAUUUAACUACUUUGUUGUUAGUUCAAAAUACAUUCAUGAACAUCAAUUUUGAUGUUUUAAGAACACUUGAGAAAUACGGAUGACAGCACUAAAACCCAAAAAAUCGGAUUUUCCAGUCUCUAAAGAUUAAAAUAAAUAUGUAAUGUAAAGAAGUUGAGUGAGUGCUGCAAAAUUAUUACGAGAAGAUCUAAAUGGACGCGAAAAUAAAAAGUGACACCUAUGAACCACACUAUUUUCCUCGCAUUUUGUAGGACUGAGUAAAUAAAUUUCAACCAUAAUGUUUUAAUAACAAAAUUAUGAAAAACACAGAAACAUAGUGUUGCCAAAAACUUCCAAACCAAAAUGUAAAACAAUGGAAACUGAUUUUUUAAGGAAUGAUGUGAGGUUCUUGAGAAAAACAUUUGUAAACAACAUCUUCGACUUUGGAAAUGCUUUGAGAAGAUCCCUACCUGUUUCAUACAGAAAAACAAAAAAAAUGAAAUGAAAAACAUGGAACUAGAAAACUAAACUUUUCAUAAUUUACCUAACCAAUUUAUAAUAUAAAAUAAUUACUGAGAAGUGAAAGAAAUAUUAUGAAAUUUGCAUAUGAUAAAAAAAAUCCAUAUUCGAUUGGUUGAAUUUCUGAAACCAACAUCUCUUAAUAAAAAACUCAUUCAAAACUCUUAACACAUUAAAUACUCAUUAAAGUUUAACCAACACUAAUUUUUUACAGAUCUUAACUUUACGAUGAGUUUAGGAUUUGAAUUAAGGUUUUCUUUAGGUAUAAUAUAUAUACUUUAGUUUGAAAUGAUAUAUGAAAAACUUUAUAUCGAUUAAAAAAAGAUAAAUUUAAAAUAUUUUAAAAUAUUUAAUAACUUUUUAAACUGAUUUUAUAAAACUAAAUUACAUUUAAAUAUCACUUUUAAGACAUUUUCAAUAAAUAUUUAAGAAUAUAUGAACCAUAAAAAAGACCACAGUUUCAUGCAUUGGAUAUUGAUUUAAAAUAAGAUAUUAAGUACAUUGUAUGAAACCUUAAGCCGAAUUCUUGAGAAAAACAUCAGUCAAAACCGUCUUCGACUGCAUAGAAGCUUUCAGAAGAUUCACACCCUGUACAAUAUAAAUAAAAUAAAUUAAUGAACCAUGAUCCAUUGUCAGAAAAAAAAAAAAAAAAAAACAAAACUCCAGCAUAUUUGUAAGAGAUCCACGAAACACUUUACUUUGUGCAUAUUAAAUUAGAAGUAAAUUCAUAUAUUUUAAACCUGAAAAGCGAUGACGAUAUCUUCAUAUUUUAAAAACAAAACUUGCCUCAUUCAUGUCCAACUCGAUCACCUUUGUCUCCAAGUCGUCAAGAUCUUUCACGUUGAAUUUGUUAAGUAGAGUAGGGAAUGAAAUGUCUGACAGGGGCUCAAUUGUCAGAUCAUCCAUCACAAUGUAAGUUACUACCUCUUUUACAAAACCACUCUUCUUGGCAAUUUCAUUUGCAACCUUUUCACCAACAAAAUUCAUUUGCGCGUUCAUAGAUAACUUACAAUUAGGACAAUGAAUGGUCCUAUCACAUGUGACGUAAUCACGGUGAUAUUGGUACCGGUAGAAUACAUCCGUGGAGUCGUUGGAAGAACUGUUGGAAGAACUGUCAUUAUCUGAAGGAAGAAGACCAGAGAUUGGUGAAAACAUGAGGGCACUUGGUUUCAACAGUAGAUUCUUAUGCUGGCCUGGUUGCAUGUAGGUUUCAUCAAGAUUCUCAACACUUUGAUAGAGAUUGCCUAAGCUACCAACUAUUUGAUUCUUAUUGACAAUCCUUAUAACAGUAGCAAUGGGUAAACAGAGCAAGUUAAAGAGAAAGUCUACAACGGAUUUUGAUGUUUCUGCGUACAGAACCUUCUCACGCUUAGUGUCGAUAAGCAAUUUCAGAGUCAAUUUAAAGGAAGAAGAUGCCAUGCUGAUAGAAGUUUUAGGAAAAUAUCAAGAUUCACACUCAAUAUUUUUCUAAAAAUUGAGUCUAUUGGACUUUAAAUAGAAGUGAUAAUUAAAAUAUUAUGAAAAUAAAAAUAAAAUACAAAUAAAAUCUCCAUGAUCUAAAAUCAUAAUUACAUAUCCCUAUUUUAUCUCAAUCAAAUCAAACUAAAUAUUAUUAUUCCUAUUUUAUCUUUAUCAAAUAAAACUAAAUAUUACUAGAUCUAAAAUCAUAAUUACAAAUCCCUAUUUUAUCUCUAUCAAAUCAAACUAAAUAUUACUAGACCUAAAAUCAUAAUUACAUAUCCCUAUUUUAUCAUCUAUCAAAUCAAACUAAAUAUUAUUAGACCUAAAACUAAUAAAAUAAAAUAAACUAAAUAUUAUUAGACCUAAAACUAAUAAAAUAAGAUUUAAACAAACUAUUUUAUCUCUACCAAAUCAAAUUAUUUUAUCUCUAUCAAAUCAAACUAAAUACUACAAUAAAUUCUAUAAUAAAAUAUAUAAUUUUAGAUUAAAAAUUAAUUAAAUUUUUUUAAUAAAAAAAUCUAUAUUAACUUUCAUUGUAGUCUAUUUAAAAGAGAAAAAGAUCGAGAUUUUGGAAAUUGGAAUAUUAUUUACCAUAACGUGAAAGAAUUUUUUAAAGAAAUUUCUUUUCAAAAAUAAAUAAAAACUUACCCAUAAAUCAUGAAUCAUGAUGAUAGCUUUGAUGUUGAAUCAAGUUUUUAAAGAAAUUUCUUUUCAAAAAUAAAUAAAAACUUACCCAUAAAUGGUGUUGAAUGAAGGUUUUGUUUCAUUGCUUCUUAACUACUCAUGCAAGUGAUGAUGUAUAAAUGAAAAGAAAUAAUAUCAAUCAAUAAAUAAAUAGGCAUGCAAAAUUUAGUGGGACAGCAUAAUCUCACUGUCAGUGCAAUUAUUUUUCGUGUCUUCGAGGUUAGAAAAAGAUUUGAGUUUUUUUUUUUUUUUUAGAAUAAUUUUAUCAUUGUUUUACCGAUUAAAAUUAAAACUUUACUCAAUAUUUUAUUUUAUAUCAUGUAAUAUAUCGUAACACAAUAAAAUUAUUCAAAUAUAUCGUAUUGUCAUAACACAAUAAAUUAUAUUUAAGUUUAAUUAAAAUAAAAUUUAAGUUUAAUUAAAAAUUAAAGAUAUUUUUUAUACACUUUUCAACUUCUUAUUUAAUUCAAUAUAUAUUUAAGAAUGUAUGAUCAUAAAUGUAACAUCAUUAAAACUAUAAUUUUUUUUUGUAUUUCUAGUAACUUGUUAUAGAUACUUUUUAUUAAUAAAUGGUUAGAUAAUUAUAGUUGUGUUAGAAUAAGUCAUAACCAACCAGUACAAAAUUCACUGUUGAUGUUAUUAAAAAGAAGCUAUAAGAACAAAAGUUUUUCAUUAAAAUUAAAACUCUCUUAUGCACUGUGUUCGUCUUGAAAGAUUUUACUAUUCAUUAUCUUUUGCACACGGAUUCGUGAUUUUUUUGUGUUCGUUUUAAGGUAUUUAUUUAAAAGAAAAAAAAUAUAUUUGCAGAAUUGAUGGGUAAUUCCAUCUUUAUUAUCCUGUAGAAAUUUUAAAUUAUUAGAUAAUGUUUUUCCUAAAAAACCAAUUUUGUUCCUGUAAAAUUAUACAUUUUUUCUAAUAGUUAUCUUGAAAAAUGCAUACAGCAUAAUAUGAUGGAUUCCAAUAAAGAAAAUCACUUCAACUAAACUUGAAAAUUUCAUUCUUAUUGAUUUUAUUAAUAAUAAUAUAAUAAAAUAGUAAUAUUAAUAAUAAUAUUAUUAUUAAAUAAUAAUGAUAAUAAUAAACUUACAUAGCCCUCUGCUUCUUCUCUGUUUUAUAGCCAAGACGAUAAAAUUAUAUUUCAUAGAAUUUUUUUUUUCAGAUUAUCAGUACAAUUUAAUCUUUUAAUUUUGUAUUUAAGUUCAAUAAUUUUUUACAGAAAUAUUAAAGUUAGUUUUAUUCAGAAGAUUUAUUAUUUCUUUAUGAAAAAUUGAAAUUGAAAUUAAAAUUACAAAAAAAAGAGUAAACUUUUAUUUAAAUAUAUUGUACUAAACUUAGUUAUUUUUUAAAAUAUAUUAUAUUAAUUAAUUAGUUAUUUUAGUACAACUAUUUCAAAUAAUUUUUGUCAUAAAAUAUAUUACUUUUAAAUAUUAUUUUAUAUUAUUUUUACCACUAAAAGUUAUUCGAAGAUAUUAAAGUAGAGAACAUAAAUUUUAUCAAAUGAGUUCGUUUUAAAACUUGUGAUUGAGAAACUAUUGUCAUCCUAAAUAACUACAAGCAAUAGGUGAAAUUUUUAUAUGCAAAAUAAAAUAUGGUAGAACACUGGUUCCAAAAAAGUAUGAAAACAAACUAGGUCACAAAAGAAAAAAACAAUUUUCAAAAUUCUUCUUUCAAUGGAUAUAGUUAACCAACUUAUUUCUAGUAUAUGAAAAUUCAUACCAUCAUGCACCUAAGUACAGACACAAAGAUGAUCAACGCGACAAUUCUUAUUUCUAGAAAGGGAAAGUUUCUUCUAAAACUCAUGUACAGACGAGAAAAGUUGAGCAUUUAAAUUCAACAAAAUUACAAGACAAAAUAUAAUGUUUUUGCAGAAAAAAAAAUGUGAUCAAUGUCUCUUUAUAAAAUAUUGAUAAAAAGUCAUUAAAAGUGAUGACAAUUUUUAAUUAAACUAUAAGGCGACUUCUUUAUAAAAAAUUCUAAAAAGAUAAGUUAUUAAGAUCGAUGACCACUUACUUUAUAAAAUUGUUAAAAGAAAAAUUAUUAAAAGUGAUAAUAAUUUUCAAUUAAAUUAAAGUUAUCAUAAUCCAUGACCACUUCUAUGAUGAAAUUAAGCUUUCCGAGUUUAUCAAACUUUUCUUCGUCCAACUUAACUUAUUGUUAAGUUUAUUACCUUAUUGGACGAUUUUAUUGAGUUUACCACUCCGGCCAAUUAUCUUAACAAAUUCUCUUUUCAAAAAAUUUCAAUAAUAUGUAAAUUUUAAAUUAAUUAUCUCAUUUUUAUAAUUUACCAAUUAAAUUAAUCAUUAUUGAAAGUUUUCCUCUUUUCUCUUAGACCACUUUUUUAUUCCAUGGUUUAAAUUGAUUUUAUGAUGAUUGAUGUGUCAUUUUUUUAUAUAAAUAAAAAAUGUUACAUAUAUAUUAUUACAUCCACCUUAAAGAUGAAAGAAAUGUAAAAUGUUUUUUAUUUUUAAAAUAAAUAAGAACAAGAGUGCAUACACGAAAAUAGGAAUUGUACUUUCAAAACUACUGUCAAAAUCACACGUAACCUUCUUCGAGUAAAUUUUUGUUUUAGAUCUUAAUAUUUAAAUAAAAUACAAAUAAUUAAAAACUCAGUUUCACUGCAAACAUACUAAGAUUCCGAGUAAAGUAAAUACUUUACCUAUACACUAUGUUCACAUUGAAAGAUAGAUUUGGAAAAAAAUGAAAUUAAUGGAUUUGAGAAUAAGUUGAUUGUUAUUUUUUUAAAGGAUUAAGAAAUGAAUGAAAGUAGAUUUAAAAAUAAAUUUAUAAAAAUUAGUAUAAAAUUUGAUUGAUGUAAUAGAUAAAAAAUAAUAAUUUAAUUAGUAAAAAUUAAAUAUUAUUAAAAUAUCUUUAGUAGUAAAAAUUAAUAUAAAAUGAUAAUGGGUUAAUAAUAUACAUAAUUGUAGAAAUUGUUAUAAGAAGAAAAAAAAUAUUAAAAUGAAAAAGAAAUUAUAUUUAAGUAAUGCAAAAUAAUUAUUUUUAAAAUAUAAUAUUUUGGAAAUAUAAGCUUACAUUAUAAUCAAAUACGUUUGUUUGGAAUCGAAUAUGUCUGCGUUCGAAUCGAAUAAGUUUAGGUUGUAACUGAAUACGCUUUUUUAUGAUUUUCUACAUAAGAUAGAAUAGAUUUCAACUCUCUUUGAAUCAAAUACGAGUUGGAUCUUCGUUCUCCUCGAACUCUACUGGUUCAUCUUGACCUCCACUCGUUUUGAAUUAUAGCUUAAGGAUAAUAUCGAUUUUCACAAAAUAACACUGUAAGUCUCUUCUCCUGAUCAAAGAACCCUUGCAUCUUCCAAAUUUUCUACCUUCCUUCUUGCAAAUUCGUUCAAGCAAAUAGCAAUAUUCACUCCAAUCCGCCUUCCUAUAUUCCCUUUCAUAUUUCAUCCUUUGAAAUUAACAGUGUUAAAUACGUGUUUGUGAAAUAUUUAUAAUAAAGUAUGAUUAAAAUUGAAAGUUAAAUUUUUAACUAAGUAAUUUAAGUUUAUUAUUCUAGAAGUUAAAAAUAAAAAUUUUUCUACACUUUUAAUUCUUCAGUCUCUUCAAGAUUUAAAAAAUAAAACAAAUAUUUUCCAAUGCCUUGUUUUUGAGGGAAAGUUCAACUUUCAAACUAGUUAAGAAAAUUUUUAGGGCACUAACUUAUGAGUUUCCCGGGAAGUUUCUCUUUUUUUUCUCCCUGUCUAAUUUUUCAUUCUAUUGUUUAAAAUUGAUUUUAUGAUGGUUGAUCGUUAGCAUAUAAUUAUGACAAAAAAGAUGUCUUAAGUAGAGGAAUAUUGCUUUAUAGAAUUAAUUGGGUAAUCUAUCAUUUUUUUAUAUAAUUUAAAAAUAUCACAAAUAUUAUACUCUAUUUAAAAGGUAAUCGAUCAAAUUUAUUUCCCGUCGCGCUUAUAAUUAUUUGAUUGUUUCCAAUGAAAAAGCAAGAGAAUAUUUUAGGAUCAUAAGGGUCCCGUUAUUUUGACACAUUUUUUUAACACAUAUUUGUCAAUAUUUAAUUGGUCCUUUUUAAUUUUUAUUUUUUUUUAAAAAAAGUUGUCCUCGAGAGUGAAGAGGGAUUCAGAAAAUUGGAUUUCUAAAUAUACCUCUGUCCUCUUUCAUUAGAAACGCAGCUUCUCUCUUCAUUUUCACAAAAAAGUUUCGUCCGUUUGCGUCUUCGUUCUCGUUGUGGGUGUUCGCAGUUUGUUUUCGUUGUGGGUGUUCGAAAUGGCAAGUUCCAGUGAGCAUCUUCGUUUGACCAAAGUAAAUGUGUUUUUCCACUAUCUUCUUCUUGGUUUGGGUUUUGUGUUUUUGGUUUUGGUGUUUAGAUUUCUGUUGUUUUGGGGAAUAAAGUGUGGGACAUGCAUAACCAUUCAAUAACAGUGCUUUUGUUUCCCUAGGUGGAAUGUCCAACAACGAACAAAGUGGAAUCUCCAACAACCAAGAAGGAGGAAUGUGCAAGAACGAACCGGGUGGAAUGUCCAACAAGCAAUCACCUUUGAAGACGUAUGUUAGGAUUGGAUCAAGAAGGCGUUAUAAGAGUCAAACGCUUAGGACACCGUACACCGGAAAUUUAGUUCUUAGAAUAAAAAACGACUGAUCAAUGUAUUAAGUUUUUGAAAUGACAAUUAUAGAACAGGACACUGUAAUUAUACCUAUUUCGUUCAAUAUAUAGAAGAUGCAUGAUUGGUCCCAUGAAGUUUUGUAAUUUAUAAUUUUGCAAUUUUAUAGGCUAUGUUAUUGAAGUGGUUUACAUUGUGAAUCUCCAUUUUUAUCCAGUGAUAUUGUUUGUGAUAGAAUAAUGAAAGAAUGUCUGUGACUUGAUGAAGUUACGUGAAUUGGUGAACAUGAUGUUGUUAAAAUCUGCAUUGUAAUCGUUUACCAGGCCUGGUAAAUGAUUACGUGAGUCAUUUUAUGGUUUUGGACACCUUGUUGAACUGAAUGAGCCAUCUGAUUUAACCUAGGGGACCACAGUUCAAUUGCAGUGUUUUUUCACCCAAGUACACUUGUUUUAAUUUGAAUUGGUUGUUUAUGUGACCUGUGCCUUCAAGGUCAACUUUUGGGAAGCCCAUGAUGGGGUAAGGGACCACAACUGAUGGUAUGAGGCACAUAGUUCAAGUCUUAUAUGCAGGGCACCCAAAAGUACCCUUGUAAUCGUUUACCAGGUCUGGUAAACUGGUAAACGAUUACACGAGUCAUUUUGGGUUUUUGGACAUCCUGUUGAACUGAAGGAGCCACCUGAUGUAACUUAGGGGACCACAGUUCAAUUGCAGUGUUUUUUCACCCAAGUGCACUUCUUUUAAUUGGAAUUGAUUGUUUAUGUGUGACCUCUGCUUUCAAGGUCAACUUUUGGGAAGCCUAUAAUGGGGUAGGGGACCACAACUGAUGGUAUGAGGCACAUAAUUCAAGUCUUAUAUGCAGGGCACCCAAAAGUACCCUUGUAAUCGUUUACUAGGCCUGGUAAACGAUUACGCGAGUCAUUUUGGGUUUUUGAACAUCCUGUUGAACUGAAGGAGCCACAUGUUGUAACUUAGGGGACCACAAUUCAAUUGUAGUGUUUUUUCACCCAAAUGCACUUGUUUUAAUUGGAAUUGGUUGUUUAUGUGUGACCUGUGCCUUCAAGGUCAACUUUUGGGAAGCCCAUGAUGGGGUAGGGGACAACUGCUGAUGGUAUGAGGCACAUAGUUCAAGUCUUAUACGUAGGGCACCCAAAAGUACCCUUGUAAUCGUUUACCAGGCUUUGGUAAACGAUUACGCGAGUCAUUUGGUGUUUUUGGACAUCCUGUUGAACUGAAUUCUGUGACCUGUGCUUUCAAGGUCAACUUUUGGGAAGCCCAUGAUGGGAUAAGGGACCACAGGUGAUGGUAUCAAGCACAUAGUUAAAGUCUUAUAUGUGGGGCAUCCAAAAAUAUCCUUGUAAUCGUUUACGAGGCUUGGUAUUAACACCCAAUUUUGUCCAGGUUAAAUAAUAUAUAUAUAUAUAUAUAUAUAUAUAUAUAUAUAUAUAUAUAUAUAUUUUUUACUUUAAUUUAUUUUAUCUUAUUUUAUGUCUUUUAAUCAUUUUUAUUUUGUUUUUAUUUCAUUUUAUAUUAUUUAGUUUUAUUUUUAUAUUAAUUUUUUAUUUUAAUUCUAUUUUUUAUUUUACUUUACUUGUUAUUUAGAAUUAUCUCACUUUAUUCUUUUUUUAGGUUAGUUUCUUUUUGUUUAGUUGUAUCUUCUUUUUAUGUUCAACGUUAACAAAAACAAAAAAAUAAAUAAAAAAAAAGGAAAAAAACGAAAGAGGUACAGCAGACUGGUUUCCUUUAUUCAAGCACGAAUUCAGCUGCAAGAUAUCAUAACAGGCAGGCUUAACAUUAGAGGCUUGUCCCUCCUGCAACAUUUACACAGUAAUGCUCAAAAUAUCUCAUACAAUGGCAGUAAAAAAGCGUCUUUGCUGCUCUUGCUAAAAAGUCUCUAUGCAAAGCUGUGUCAUACAUCAAAGGGAAAGGAAAUUUGAACGGUUUUCGCCGAUUGAUCCCAUUAACAAGGAAAAAAAGACAAAAGAAAUCCCAAGUCAGAAGGGAUACGGACUGAUCAUACAGAAGGGAAGAGGGGAUUCAGAAGCACCAUUAUCAUUCACUCACACACUACUUCUCUGACCGGUGACCACCCCAACCAGAUUUUCCCUUGCAUUCCCAAUUCUUCACCUCCAACGGAUCCAUGAUUCACCUGACCAAUCUCCAUUGCCAUCCUCCUUAAGGGAGAAGGAACACCUCACCAUCACAGCUUAGAAGAGAGCUCUCGACUCCUCUGACCUCCACCAUUAACCAAUCAUCUACUUCCAUUGCUCACUCUCAGCAUGACUUUCUUGCACCUGUAAAGUCCAACAAAAAGAAUACAAUCUCAGAAAAGGAACAAGAGACCGCAAGAAAAAAAGAAGAAGCAAAGACAACGAAACGAACUCCAGCAAGAGAGGAGAGGAAUUGAUAUUGUGGCAGUUAUUCAACAUCCACGGAAAAGAAAAACGAAGCCAGUAAAAAGAAGAGAGGAGCUAACGGUGGCAACCGGCCAAUAGUGGGUCAAGAAAUAUUGAAUGGUGAUGUAGGGAGAUUCCGAGGAAUACAAAUAACCUCUGAUUUUUUUCAGAUUUGGAGAGCAUCUGGAAUAACUAAUGAAUUACAACUCUAUUGUACUGCAAUUGGUGCAUUGGUCUUUGCAGCCUUNAUGNUUUUUGCUGGUUGGUUUCAUUAUCACAAAGCUGCUCCAAAAUUGACUUGGUUCCAAGAUGUAGAAUCUACGUUGAAUCACCAUUUGACAGGGCUCUUCAAGAAGUAAGUAUGCUUUGUUCACUUGUAUCUUCAUGUAAGCUUGCUGCAUUGUGCUUCAUAUUAUACAUGAUAUUGUUCUAUUUGGGAUUGAAUUGUUGUGAGAGUACUCUCCUUUUUCAUCCACCAAUGCAUAAUCACCCUCCCUCUUCAACCUGAGACCUCCGGCCGCAUUUCUUGCCUUUUAUUAAUAAUCUCAGCCCAAUCUUCAUCAACACAACUACUUCCAUAAUCUCAUCUUCAUACUCUACAACAUACAGAACACCCUCAUUCUCUUCAUUUUCCUAUCUCCAUUACCAAAGCCGAAAUGGCCCAACCAAACCCCCCAUCAACCUUGAUUUCUACUACAUGUCGUUUCCCUGCAAAAAAAAAACCAACCCAAACACCCUGAAUCAGUCACAACAACCACAAACCAGAUAAUCAAACCAUGCCCCCCACGCCUCGGUCCAUCUCCAAUAAUCAACAAUAAAAUUGAAUCAUUAGGAUAGAUGCUCACCAGAAAAGCACAAUAAAAAAAACAGAGUCAGUACCUUCGUCUUCACUAGAACCACUCCAUUCACGCUUAAAACCAUCAUCCUCAACCUGCACUGCAAAAAGUUACAAAAUAAGAAUCAACCACUCAACACCAGUCUCCAUUUUCAUUCAAUCUACAAAGAAACACACGCAAGGACAGAGAACCAAAUUUAUCUCCAUUCUUCUCCAUAAACCCCUGCAUCGCAACCAGUGUGUCACCUUCAUUCCCCAACUCACACAGAUUCACACAGGAACACCACAGUGUGUUCCUUUCACCUUUCGACUGCGUCAAUCGAAGCCAAUAGCCCAACACUCCCUACACCAUCGGAAAAACCCGCGCCCAGUCAAAAAGAGCUCGCGUUUCGGAGAGGAAGGAGGAUGCAGAGGUCGGCAAUGUGGUUGAACGGAGGACGCGCAGUGGCGGCGGUGUGACUGCUAGAUCCCGAUUUGAAUAUUGAAUGGAGGAGAGGAUGUCCCGGAAUGAAAAGGGCGAAUAAGGGGAGAGUUGCCUUGACGCCGGUAGGAUUCCUUGCGGUGACCGGAGCCACCGAUAACGGCCAGAGCUUGGCGGAACGUGGUCGCGCGGCGGUGUUGGCUCAGUGGAUGGCUGUGCGAUACGUAGAGGGAGAGAGAAAGUGGUGGCGCGGUGGCUGGCCGGACAGAAGCAAUAACGCCGGCGCCGCCAAGGCUGGCCGGAUGGGCGCGGUGGCUGUCAGAGGGGAGCGGCGGCAUGACGCGUUCAGGGGAGAUGACCCCAACCCUAGGCAAGUAGGUGCGGAGAGAGACUUGGAGUCUCAGAGGUGUUGGAGUGCAGAAUGGGGUGAGGAGGUUCGAACCCCUAAGGUUUCUGACCUUGGGAGAGAGGGGUGCCUAGGCCAUUGCUGGGCCACGAUAAAAAAUAACAAAAAGAUAACGGGCGUUACUCCCUGUACCUCUCCAAUUGCUGGGUCACACCCCUUUUCACUUGGGCUUAGGCCCAAUCUGCUAUCAGAAGCAAAAUUUGUCUGCACACUCCUGUUUUUUCCCUUUUCACCCCCUUCUCUUAUUUAAUUUGAUUGGUUUUUAUUUUAUUAUUUCACUAUAUACUUUAUUUUCAUCUUUAUCUUUAUUUUUUUAUUUAUCUUUUUAUUUUGUUUCUAUUUUACUUUUAUUUUUCCUUUUUUUUGUUUUAUUUUAUCUACUUUUAAAUAAAUAUUAAAAACAACAAAAAUAGUUUUAAAAGGUUAAAUCACACGUGCGAUCAUUUGUGUAGGCCUUGUGUUAAAAGUUUUUCUCCUUUUCUUUACAAAAAUAAUAAAUAUAUGUUUUAAUAGGUUAAAGCACACGUGUGACCAUUCGUGUAGGCCUUGUGCUAAAAUUCUUUCUCCUUAUUUUCACAAAAACACUAAAAAUAUGUUCAAAAGGUUAAAACACAUGUGCGACCGUUCGCGUAGGCCUUGUGCUAAAAACCUUUUCCUCUUUUUUCACCAAAAUAAUAAAAAUAUGUUUAAAAUGUUAAAGCAUACGUGCGACCGUUCGCGUAUGCCUUGUGCUAAAAACCUUUUCUCCUUUUUUUUUCACAAAAAUAAUAAAAAUACGUUUUAAAAGGUUAAAGCACACGUGCGACUGUUCGCAUAGGCCUUGUGCUAAAAGCCUUUUCCCUUUCUUUUACAAAAAUAAUAAAAAUGUUUUAAAAGGUUGAAGCACACGUACGACAAUUCGCGUAGGCCUUGUGCUAAAAAACCUUUACUGUUUCUCACACAAAAAUACCAAAAUACAAAACAUUUGUCGGGCACAAAAAAUAAAAAAAUAUAUUUUGUUUCUUUAAAGUUUUAUUUUUCGGGAUAGUUAAGCAUUUUGAAAACCACAUCGUCAUUUGCGUAUCUAAUUAAGGGUACUGCUUUAGGGUUGUAGGGUGCUAAUACCUUCCAUACACGUAACCGACUCCCGAAUCCAAAAUCUGGUUUUAGUGGACCUUAUCUUAUCUUUUUUAUGGUUUUUCCGUAGUUUUCCAGAAUAAACUAUGGUGGCGACUUCAAAAGUCAUUUUUAUCAAAAUCGUUUCUUUUUUGGGAUCGUCGUCCCGUCGCGAUACCGGUUGCGACACUUGGUAAACGAUUACGCGAGUCAUUUUUGGUUUUUGGACAUGUUGUUGAACUGAAAGAGCCACCUGUUGUAACCAAGGAGACCACAAUUCAAUUGCAAUGUUUUUUCACCCAAGUACACUUGUUUUAAUUUGAAUUGGUUGUUUAUGUGUGAUUUUCAAUUGUUUAACAUGUUCUCAAAUAUAAUACAACAAAUAAUCAACCAACAUUUAACAAAAAAAUAUAAAAUUCCCAUACUCAAUUUGAUUAAUAAAAACAGUACAAUGUUCCAUUAAUGCAUAAAUGAUUCAUACAUUCUUAAAUAUUUAUAUAUAUAUAUAUAUAUAUAUAUAUUGAAUUAACUAAGUUGAAAAGUGUAUAAAAAAUUGGUAAAACAAUGAUAAAAUUACUCUAAAAAAAAAGAAAGGAAACUCAAAUUUUUUUUAACCUUGAAGAUACGAAAAAUAAUUGCACUGAUAGAGAGAUUACGCUGUCCCACUAAAUUUUGCAUGCCUAUUUGUCAACACCCAAUUUCAUCUAUCAACACCUAAUUUCGUCUGAGUGACAAAAAUAUAUUAUUUUUAUUUUAUAUUAUGUCUUUUUAUCAAUUUUGUUUUUGUUAUAUCAUUUAAUUUUUUAUUUUUACUUAUUUUAUGUUAUUUUAUUUAUUUAUCUUUUUAUUUAUUUAUCUUUUUUUGUUUUUUAUUUUCAUAUUAGUUUUUAUAUUUUAAUUCUAUUUUUUACCUUUUAUUUUAUUUUACUUUUUAUUUUAUUUUUCUUUUUAUUUUAUUUUACUUUUUAUUUUAUUUUACUUUUUAUUUUAUUUUAUUUUACUUUUUGUCAUUUAGAUAUAUUUCGUUUUAUUUUACGUUAGUUUUUUUUAUUGUUUAGUUUUAUUUUUGUUUUUUUUUUUUACGUUAAACGUUAACAAAAAAUUCUAAGGAAAAAGAAAAUAAAAAGGGUAUCGCAGACUGUUGCUUUCUUUCCAUUCUCAGUCACGCAAUCACCAAGCACCAAUUUAGCUUCCUUACAACACAGUGCAUUCAACUCUCCUGCAACGCAAAGCACAGACAAAACAUUCAUCAAAGGGGAAUGAUAUUUUGAACAAGCUUCUUCCAGCGAUACAGUGAAAACAUGAAGAAGGAAAAGGACAAAAAAAAGAUAUCUCAAGUCAGAGGAUACGCCUGUAUGAUCCAAGAGACAGAGGGGAAUUGGCUUCAUGAGAACCUUGACCAUCAGACAGAAGAGGGGGACGGCUUCUCCAAUCACUCUGGACUCACUCAACAGAAACCCCUAGACUAUCUUUGCUCCUCUGGACUCCAACCAAUUUUUUUUUUUCUUUUCACUUCCAAGUAUUCACCUCCAAUAUUUCAUCGCCGCGAGAGCACACUAUCAAACAAGAACAAUAACAACAGAGAAAAGAUCAUCAACAAAAAGAUUCUGGACUCCCUCAUCUUUAACACGAACCAUCAUUUGCAUACACAGAAAAAAAGGCAACCUCUUUGGACCUUCAUCUUCAACCAUCAUUCAGUCUCAGUCUCUGUGAUGGCGUCCACCAUUUCAUGAGCAGAGGAAGAAAACGAGAGGCCAGCAUCUGAAAAAGAGAAAGAACUGGUUCCUAUCACGGGCUGGGGGAGGUUUUCUGAAGGUUCACUGGCCGGCAUCAACUUCACUGCUGCAAUUGCUGCAGCUGGGGACACCAAGCAACAGCAAAGCCCGGUAAGUAACUCUCUCUCUCGCUCAUAUAGUCGCUUGUAAUGUAUGCUGUAUUGUGAAUGGCUGUAUCACGAACUACGUAUUAUAUUUGCCUGUGGUUAUUGGCCUUGUGUAUGAACCCCCCUCACUCUUCAUUCUCAAUGGCCACCUUUGCCCAACAUCCACCAUCUUCAUCUUUUUUAGCCUCUGCAAUUUCCAUGGCAAACUUGCCUAAUACGCCGUCAUGCUCCAUCAACUUCUCUCCUCACCACCCUAUCCAAAUCAAUAUCCCAGCCAAACCCCUCAAACAUCACAACGUCAAUGCCUCUGCAAUCUGUAACCAAAAAAACUAAACAGAUUUCACAGCCUAAUACCAAGCCUCUGCCGCUGAGGCAAAACUCCAUCAACCUUCACUACAUCACCAAGCAAAAUUCCAGCAAGUCAUAAGCCAAGUUCUCACAAUCAUCGACCAUAACCACAACAAGAGGUAUUGCUAGUCAGAAAAUCCCUCACACAAUCCCGAUCCCAUUUAUCUGCAAAAAGGAUCCAACCCAAACCUGAGCCAAUCGCAGUAACCACGAACCAAAUCAGAUAUUGAAGCUAAGUCGCCUUUGUUCACCCCAAGCAACCGUGAAAAGAGUUAACCCCCUAACGUUGUCUCGACAAGCCUCCGUGGUCGUCUUCUCUGAUCAAUAAACGGUGGAAUCGCGUUGGCGGUAGCCUCGGUGACGGCGGUGGGCUCGACGAGGAGCGACGACUCUGGCUUGGCGGCAGCGAGCAGGCAGCAGAGGCAAACCCUUCCCUGGGUCACCGUUUUCGAAGCAGAGAGAGAGGGCGGUGAGUGCGUGAGUGGCCGGCGGUGGCUUUGGGGGGGCGUGGUGUCGCCGGUGACGCCAUGGACAGCCCCCUCGCAGCGCCCUUUUGAUCGGAGAUUGUGGCAGCAGAUGGGGCGAAUCACGGAAGGUGAGGACGUCUCCCUCUCGCGCGCGGCGAGGAACUUGAGGAAGGGGUCUGACUCCGUGGCCGGCAGCAGCUCCGGUGACGCUUACUGUCGCCGGUAACGCCUCGAACUGGCCGGAUGGGAGCUGUGGCUGGUCGGGUGGUGGCAGCGUGAGACGUUCCUAGGAGGCAAACCUAGUUUGAGAAUGAAGAGACCUUGAGUCUCUCUUUUGAGGCUGAGAGAGUGUCAAAUGAUGAAACGAGGGAGGAAGGAAACAACCCCUAAAUUCUGCUGUUGGGGGAUUCUUGGGCCAUGGGUCCUUUUCCUUUACUUUUUUUUAAAAAAAAAAUAAAUAUACUUUUCACUUUUGCACCCUUGUUUAUCAUUUAGGCACCCCAUUUUUUCUGCCGGACCAGCAAUGGGCCAAGAGAAAACAAAAAAAAAAACAAACUUUUUCCGCACACCCCUGUUUAUGCUAAAUCUCACCCCCUUUCCACUAGGGCUUUGGCCCAAUCAGUUGUCAGCACUUAAUUUGAUUUGCACCCCCUGAUUUCACUGGCACACCCCUUUUUCUUGGGCUUAGGCCCAGUUCGUUUCUAAAAGGAAAAAUAGCUUAGACAUUUUUUUUCUUAUUUAAGCACCUUUGCAAUUUUAUUUUUUCUUUACUUUGUUGUUAUUUAUUUUAUUUUAUCUUUUUACUUUUACUUUAUUUAUUUAUAUUUUAAUUCUAUUUUUAUUUUUAUUUUUUUUUAUUUUUUUAUUUUCUUUUUACUUGUCUACCUUUUAAAUAUGUGAAUAUAAAAAUAAACAAAAAUAUUUUAAAAGGUUUAAGCACAUGUGCGACUUAAAACCUUUUCCUCCUUCUUUCAAAAAUAACAAAAACAUUUUAAAAGGUUUAAGCACACAUGCGGCCAUUCGCGUCAGCCUUGUGUUAAAACCUUUUCCUCCUUCUUUCAAAAAUAUAAAAAAAUGUUUUAAAGGUUUAAGCGCGUGUGUGAUCGCACGCAUAGACCUUUUUCUUCUUUCAUAAAAAAUAUAAAAAAAAUGUUUUAAAGGUUUAAGCGCGUGUGUGAUCGCUCGCAUCGUCCUCGUCCCGAGACCUUUUCUUCUUUUAUAAAAUUAAAAAAUAUGUUUUAAAGGUUUAAGCACGUGUGUGAUCGCACGCAUCGUUCUCGUGCUAAGACCUUCUCCCCUUUCAUAAAAUUAUUUAAAAAAAUAUGUUUUAAAGGUUUAAGCACGUGUGUGAUCGCACGCAUCGUCCUCGUGCUAAGAACCUUUUCCCUUUUUUAUAAAAAUGCUAGACUAUAAAUAUUUCCAAACUUUCCAAACAAACUUCCCAAACAAUUCUCCAAACAAAUUUUCCAAAUGGUUUCAUAAAGAACUACGUAACCCUGAUUUCUCAGUCCAACUGAGAAUACGUAAGAGCAAGGUCAAUCCUUGUCGGGCACAAAAAACACAAAAAAAAUAUUUUGUUCUAUUUAGAGUUUUAUUUUUUUAGGGGAAAUUAAACAUUUCGCAAACCACAUCAAAUUCGUGUAUUUAGUUAAAGGUACUGCCUUAGGGCAGACGUUGUGGGGGUGCUAACACCUUCCCCACACGUAACCGACUCCCGAACCCAAUCUUUGGUUUUUGUGAACCGUGCUUUAUCAUUUUAUGGUUUUUCCGUAAUUUUCUAUAAUAAACUAUGGUGGCGACUCCAAAAACUCUUUUUCAAAACUUUUUAAUUAUUUCCUUUUUUGGAUCCUUGUCCCGUCGCGAUUCCGGUUGCGACACUAUCUAUUUAUUGAUUGAUAUUAUUUCUUUUCGUUAUACAUCCUUACUUGCAUGAGUAGUUAAGAAGCAAUGAAACAAAACCUUGAUCUAGCACUAGAGCUAUCACCUUGAUUCAUGAUUUAUGGGUAAGUUUUAAUUUAUUUUUGAAAAGAAAUUUCUUUAAAAAAUUCUUUCACGUGGUGGUAAAUAAUAUUUCAAUUUCCAAAAUCUCAAUCUUUUUCUCUUUUAAAUAGACUAGAAUGAAAGUUAAUAUAGAUUUUUUUUAAAAAAAAAUUAAUUAAUUUUUAAUCUAAAAUUAUAUAUUUUAUUAUAGAAUCUAAUAUAUUGUAAUAUUUAGUUUGAUUUAAUAGAGAUAAAAUAAUUUGAUUUGAUAGAGAUAAAAUAGUUUGUUUAAAUCUUAUUUUAUUAGUUUUAGGUCUAAUAAUAUUUAGUUUGAUUUGAUAGAGACAAAAUAGGGAUAGAUAAUUAUGAUUUUAGGUCUAGUAAUAUUUAGUUUCAUUUGAUAGAGAUAAAAUAGGAAUAAGUAGAGAUAAAAUAGGAAUAGGUAGUUAUGAUUUUCUGUUUAUUUAGGUAUAAUAUUAUUUUAUGAUAGAUUAAGGGGAUUUUAUUUGUAAGACUGUUAAUAUUUUAUUUCCAGAUUUUAUUUUUAUUUUUGUAAUAUUUUAAUUAUCAUUUUAUUUAAAGUCUUUCAAUAAACAAUAGACUCAAUUUUUAGAAAAAAUAUCUAAGUGUGUAUCUUGAGAUUUUCCUAACACUUCUAUCAGCAUGACAUCUUCUUCCUCCAAAUUGACUUUGAAAUUGCUUAUCGACACUAAGCGUGAAAAGGUUCUGUUCGCAGAAAUAUGAAAAUUCGUUGUAGACUUUCUCUUUAACUUGCUCUGCUUGCACAUUGCUACUACUAUAAGGAUUCUCAACAAGAAUGAAAUGGUUGGUAGCUUAGGCAAUCUCUAUCAAAGUGUUGAGAAUUUGGAUGAAACUUACAUGCAACUAGACCAACAUAAGGAUCUAGUGUUGAAACCAAGUGUCCUCAUGUCUUCACCAAUCUUUGGUCUUCUUCCUUCAGUUAAUGACAGUUCUUCCAACGACUCCACGGAUGUAUUCUACUGUGUCAAUAUCACGAUGAUUACGUCACAUGUGAUAACACCACUUGUUGUCCUACUUGUAGGUCAUCUAUGAAGUGGCAAAUGAAUUUUGUUGGUGAAAAGGUUGCAAAUGAAAUUGCUGCCUACAAGAGUGGUUUUGUGAAAGAGGUAGUAACUUACAUGGUGAUGGAUGACCUGACAAUUCAGCCCCUGUCAAGCAUUUCAAUCCCUACUUUACUUAACAAAUUCAAGGUGAAAGACCUUGGUGUCUUGUAAGAAAAGGGGGUCGAGUUGGAGGCAAGUUUUGUUUUUAAAAAAUGAAGAUAUCAUUAUCGCUCUUCAAGUUUAAAAUAUAUGAAUUUACUUAUAAUUUAAUAUGAACAAAGUAAAUUGUUUCGUGGUUCUCUUACAUAUUGCUGGAGCUUUGUUUUUUUUUAUUGACAAUAGAUCAUGGUUCAUUAAUUUCUUUUUUUCAUAGGUUAAAUAUAUCUUUUGGUCCUCAUUUUCGUGCCCAAUUCUCAACUGGGUCCUCAUGAUUUUUUUUGUCCCAAUUGAAUCCAAAUAUUUGUUAAUUUGAGGCAAUAAAGCUCUCUCCGUUAACUUUCCACUGACGUCGUUUAAAUGUGAUGAAUGAGUGUUCUUUUGUAUAAUACACCCUUCGGGGAUACCUCCAAAUCAGAAUACACCCUCCGGGAAUACCACAUUGCAGAUUUGGAAAGUCUUCCAUCCAAAGCUUCAAUAUUUCCCUCUUCCACACCUACUAGUCUAGAAAUGAAUUCACCAUUUCUUGCUUCGACGGGGUGCCCCACAGUUUCAACCAUCAUGCAAGGGUUGUUAAAACCAUUCCAAGAAUGAAGAGGCACCAAUUUACACAGCCCAUAGAGCCAAGUAACAACCUCCUUCAUGGAAGGUCUCCUCUCCCUAUAAGACCUCACACUUGGCAGCAAUCACAGCCGACUGCUUCCUCACAACCGGAUCCUUGGGAGCUGCAAUUCUAAGAUCAUAAAAAGCCAAAAGCUUCCCUUUCUUGAUGAGAGGAAUAGCCCAAUCCACGAUAGAAGGUGGUGAAUAAGUGAUGUCAAUGACCCUCCUUCCGCUUAUAAUCAGCAGCACCAAAAUCCCAAAGCUGAAAACAUCAGUUUUGGUGCUCAAAUUAUCAGGAGUUACAUAAGAAGGAUCAAGAUAGCCCAUGGUGCCUACACAGGGAGUGGACCUGAGUCUGUAGUCAUCAACACGGCCUCUCAAGGCCAAACCAAAAUCCCCCAAUCUCGCUUUGUAGCUGCGGUCGAUGAGAACGUUCGCAGACUUUAUGUCACGGUGAAUCACAGGAGGGGUCGAGGAGUGAAGCGUGUCCAUGGCUUUGGCAGUUUGCAGAGCCAAAUGAUUUUGCAGAGCUUCGUCUUGGCCCUCGAUUUUGUCGGCAGCAGAAUUUCCUCCAACGACGCCGCCGAGAAAAGCGUGGAUGGGAAUUGAGGCGAGAGCAUUGGAGUGAAGAAAUGGAUGAAGAAUGUGUCGUGAUUUCCAAAUCCCUAAUUCCCCUUUUAAUUUUACCAUGUCAUGAUCUUUUAGUUUAAAUAAAUUUUCCAUAUAAGAAUGAAUAUAAACAAGUUACUAAUGUAUGCAUCCAUAUCAUCACAAUUAGACGGCGUUAGUUUAAAAUUAAUGGAGAGACCUUUAUUGUCUCAAAUUAACAAGUAUUUGGAUGCAAUUGGGACAAAAAAAAUAUGAGGACCCAGUUGAGAAUUAGAUACAAAUAUGAGGACCAAAAGACAUAUUUAACCUUCUUCAUCUUCUAUAAGAUGUGAAUCUUCUGAAGGCUUCUCUAUAGUCGAAGACGGUUUUGACUGAUGUUUUUCUCAAGAAUCAUUCUUCGGCUUAGAGUUUCAUACAUUGUACUUAAUAUCUUAAUUUAAGUCAAUAUUUAAUGCAUGGAAUUGUGGUCUUUUUUAUGAUUCAUAGAUUCUUAAAUAUUUAUUGAAAAUGUCUUAUUUAAAUCUAAUUCAGUUUUAUAAAAUGAGUAAAUUUUUUUUAUAUAUUAUAAAAUAUUUUAAAUUUAUCUUAUUUUUUUAAUCGAUAUAAAUUUUUUCAUAUAUAUAUAUAUAUAUAUAUAUAUAUAUAUAUAUAUAUAUAUAUAUAUAUAUAUAUAUAUAUAUAUNNNNNNNNNNNNNNNNNNNNNNNNNNNNNNNNNNNNNNNNNNNNNNNNNNNNNNNNNNNNNNNNNNNNNNNNNNNNNNNNNNNNNNNNNNNNNNNNNNNNNNNNNNNNNNNNNNNNNNNNNNNNNNNNNNNNNNNNNNNNNNNNNNNNNNNNNNNNNNNNNNNNNNNNNNNNNNNNNNNNNNNNNNNNNNNNNNNNNNNNNNNNNNNNNNNNNNNNNNNNNNNNNNNNNNNNNNNNNNNNNNNNNNNNNNNNNNNNNNNNNNNNNNNNNNNNNNNNNNNNNNNNNNNNNNNNNNNNNNNNNNNNNNNNNNNNNNNNNNNNAUAUAUAUAUAUAUAUAUAUAUAUAUAUAUAUAUAUAUAUAUAUAUAUAUUAUAGUUUGAAAUGAUAUAUGAAAAAUUUUAUAUCGAUUAAAAAAAAUAAGAUAAAUUUAAAAUAUUUUGAAAUAUAUAAAAAAAAAUUAAACUCAUUUUAUAAAACUGAAUUAGAUUUAAAUAAGACAUUUACAAUAAAUAUUUAAGAAUAUGUGAAUAAUAAAAAAUACCACAAUUUCAUGCAUUGAAUAUUGACUUAAAAUAAGAUAUUAAGUACAAUAUAUGAAACCCUAAGCCGAAAAAUGAUUCUUGAGAAAAACGUCAGUCAAAACCGUCUUCGAUUGCAGAGAAGCCUUCAAAAGAUUCACAUCCUAUAGAAUAUGAAGAAAAGAAAUUAAUGAACCAUGAUCUACUGUGAGUAAAAAAAAAAAAACUCCAGCAAUAUAUAAGAGAUCCACGAAACAAUUUACUUUGUGCAUAUUAAAUUAGAAGUAAAUUCAUAUAUUUUAAACCUGAAAAGCGAUAAUGAUAUCUUCAUAUUUCAAAAACAAAACUUGCCUCCAACUCGACCGCCUUUUCCUGCAAGACGUUAAGCUCUUUCACGUUGAAUUUGUUAAGUAAAGUAGGGAUUGAAAUGCUUGACAGGGGCUGAAUUGUCAGAUCAUCCAUCAACAUGUAAGUUACUUCCUCUUUCACAAAACCACUCUUGUAGGAAAAAAUUUCAUUUGCAACCUUCUCACCAACAAAAUUCAUUUGUCACUUCAUAGAUGACCUACAAGUAGGACAACAAGUGGUGUUAUCACAUAUGACGUAAUCAUCGUGAUAUCAGCACAGCUAGAAUACAUCUGUGGAGUCGUUGGAAGAACUGUCAUUAACUGAAGGAAGAAGACCAGAGAUUGGUGAAGACAUGAGGGCACUUGGCUUCAACACUAGAUCCUUAUGUUGGUCUGGUUGCAUGUAAGUUUCAUCCAAAUUCUCAACACUUUGAUAGAGAUUGCCUAAGCUACCAACCAUUUCAUUUUUGUUGAGAAUCCUUAUAACAGUAGGGAUGGACAAGCAGAGCAAGUUAAAGAGAAAGUCUAUAAUAGAUUUUGAUGUUUAUGCGAACAAAACCUUCUCACGCUUAACUUCGAUAAGCAAUUUCAAAGUCAAUUUGGAGGAAGAAGAUGUCAUGCUGAUAGAAGUGUUAGGAAAAUCUCAAGAUACACACUCAGAUAUUUUUGAGUCUACUGUCUAUAGACAACUGAAAGACUUUAAAUACAAAUGAUAAUUAAAAUAUUACGAAAAUAAAAAUAAAAUCUGAAAAUAAAAUAUUAACGGUGUUACAAAUAAAAUCUCCUUAAUCUAUCAUAAAAUAAUAUUCUAGAUAUACAGAAAAUCAUAAUUACCUAUUCCUAUUUUAUCUCUAUCAAAUCAAACUAAAUAUUACUAAAGUCUAGACCUAAAAUCAUAAUAACCUAUCCCUAUCUUAUAUGUAUCAAUCAAACUAAAUAUUAUUAGACCUAAAACUAAUAAAAUAAGAUUUAAACAAACUAUUUUAUCUCUAUUAAAUCAAAUUAUUUUAUCUCUAUUAAAUCAAACUAAAUAUUACAUUAUAUUAGACUCUAUAAUAAAAUAUAUAAAAUUUUAGGUUAAAAAUUAAUUAAAUUUUUUUAAUAAAAAAAUCUAUAUUAACGUUUAUUCUAGUCUAUUUAAAAGAGAAAAAAGAUUGACAUUUUGAAAAUUGAAAUAUUAUUUACCAUCACGUGAAAGAAUUUUUUAAAAAAAUUUCUUUUCAAAAAUAAAAUUAAAACUUACCCAUAAAUCAUGAAUAAAGGUUAUAACCCUGGUUUUGAAUUAAGGUUUUGUUUCAUUACUUCUUAACUACUCAUGCAAAGUGAAGAUAUAUAACGAAGAGAAAUAAUAUCAAUAAAUAAAUAGGCAUGCGAUAUUUAUCGGACGGUGCAAUUAUUUUUCGUGUCUUCGAGGUUAGAAAAAGAUUUGAGUUUCCUUUUUUUUUUUUAGAAUAUUUUUAUCAUUGUCUUUUACCGAUUAAAAUUAAAACUUUAGUCAAUAUUUUAUUUUAUGUAAUAUAUCGUAAUACAAUUAAAUUAUUCAAAUAUAACAGUAUUGCCAUAACACAUUAAAUUAUAAUUGUAGAACAAAAUCAUAAAAUAUUGACGGUUGUUUUUUUAAAUUACUAGCUGCAUCACCUAUUUUUGAGAAAAAAGAAGGCAUUGAGAAAAAGUCCAAUAUCCAAUGAAAUUAAUGCAAUUGAAAAUCAGUCUUGUUAUCAUGCUAGCACCACCCAUAGAAAUGUAAUUAAAAUUCACCCUUUUUUUACUUAUUCACUGUUUUUGUGAAUGAAAUUUUAAUUAAAAUAAAAUUUAAGUUUAAUUAAAAAUUAAAGGUAUUUUUUAUACACUUUUCAACUUCUUAGUUAAUUCAAUAUAUAUUUAAGAAUGUAUGGAUCAUAAAUGUAACAUCAUUAAAACUAUAAUUUUCUUUGAUGUAUUUUUAGUAACUUGUUAUAGACACUUUUUAUUAAUAAAUGGUUAGAUAAUUAUAAUCGUGUUAGAAUAAGUCACAACCAACCAGUACAAAAUUCACUGUUGUUGUUAUUAAAAAGGAAAAUGAUAUUUUAACACCAUUUUUUUACGCUGCACACAUGUCAAAAUGUGAUUGAACGAUUUCAAAUUAAAAAAAUUGAGGCAAAGGUAUAUUUGGAAGAGAAAAACCAAAGUUUGUUUUUUUAAUUUAAAAUCGUCUUGUCUCAACUUUUUUUAAUUUGAAAUCGUUCAAUCACAUUUUGACACGUGUGCAGGGUCAAAAUAGUGUCAAAAAAUGGUGUUAAAAUAUCAUUUUCCUAUUAAAAAUUACAUAAACAAGAAGCUACAAGGACAAAAGUUUUUCAUUAAGAUUAAAACUCUCUUGCACACCGUGUUCGUCUUGAAAGAUUUUACUAUUCAUUAUCAUUUUGCACAAUGAUUCGUGAUUUUAUUUGUGUUCGUUUUAAGGUAUUUAUUUAAAAGAAAAAAAAAAUGAUUUGCAGAAUUGAUGGUUAAUUCCAUCUUUGUUAUCCUGGAGAGAUUUUAAAGAAUUAGAUAAUGUUUUUCCUAAAAAAGCAAUUUUGAUCCUGUAAAUUUAUACAUUCUUCUAAUAGUUAUCUUGAAAAAUGCAUACAGCAUAAUAUGAUGGAUUCCAAUAAAGAAAAUCACUUCAACUAAACUUGAAAAUUUCAUUCUUAUUAAUUUUAUUAAUAAUAAUAUAAUAAAAUAGUAAUAUUAAUAAUAAUAAUAUUAUUAAAUAAUAAUGAUAAUAAUAUACUUACAUAGCCCUCUGCUUCUUCUCUGUUUUUUAGCCAAGACGAUAAAAUUAUAUUUCAUAGAAUUUUUUUUUCAGAUUAUCAGUACAAUUUAAUCUUUUAAUUUUGUAUUUAAGUUCAAUAAUUUUUUACAGAAAUAUUAAAGUUAGUUUUAUUCAGAAGAUUUAUUAUUUCUUUAUGAAAAAUUGAAAUUGAAAUUAAAAUUACAAAAAAAAGGUAAAUUUUUAUUUAAAUAUAUUGUAUUAAACUUAGUUAUUUUUUAAAAUAUAUUAUAUUAAUUAUUUAGUUAUUUUAGUACAACUAUUUCAAAUAAUUUUUGUCAUAAAAUAUAUUACUUUUAAAUAUUAUUUUAUAUUAUUUUUACCACUAAAAGUUAUUCAAAGAUAUUAAAGUAGAUAACAUAAUUUUAUCAAAUGAGUUCGUUUUAAAACUUGUGAUGGAGAAACUAUUGUCAUCCUAAAUAACUACACGCAAUAGGUGAAAUUUUUAUAUGCAAAAUAAAAUAUGGUAGAACACUGGUUCCAAAAAAGUAUGAAAACAAACUAGGUCACAAAAGAAAAAAAACAAUUUUCAAAAUUCUUCUUUCAAUGGAUAUAGUUAACCAACUUAAGAAGGAAAAUUGCUUGUAUAUGAAAAUUCAUACCAUCAUGCACUAAGUACAGACACAAAAAUGAUCAACGCGACAAUUCUUAUUUCUAGAAAGGGAAAGUUUCUUCUAAAACUCAUGUACAGAUGAGAAAAGUUGAGCAUUUAAAUUCAACAAAAUUGCAAGACAAAAUGUAAUGUUUUUGUAGAAAAAAAAUGUGAUCAAUGUCUCUUUAUAUUUAAUAUUUAUGAAAUUAUCACUUAAUCGAAUUAUUAUGCUUACCGACUCGAAUACUAAUAUUUUUAUGUUUUUCUGUGUGGGUUCAAAAUACAUUCAUGAUAUUUUUUAAUAACACAUUAAAAAAGAAAUUUAAUAUACUAACAUACGGAGGACAGCACUAAAAAAAAUAUUAAUUCUAGAUUGUAAUUUUUCAGACGUUUAUAAAGAUUAAAUAAUAAUUAUGUAACAUAUAUGAAUUUUUUUACAUUCAUUUAAACUACUUUUUUUAUUUUUUAUUACUUUUUAUUCAUUACUCUAAAUUAUUUUAUAAAAGAUAUCAAUGGACGCGAAAAUAAAAAUUGAUAACUAUGUAUGAACAAUAUUAAUUUGUUUUCUAAGAAAAAUGAAUUUUUAACAAUUUUUUUAUAAUUACUUGUAUGUUAGGUUCUGAUUAUUCUAUUUUAAAUAUAUAAAUUAAUAAAAUAAUAACAUAUAAUUUAUUGUAAAAAUAUUAUGUACUUCUCAGGAGACGACGUAAAUGGUAAAAAAAAUAUUAAAAAAUUAUUAACAAAUUUUGUAGAAUUGAGUAAAUGAAUUGCAAAUAUAAUAUUUUUAUGACAUAAAAUUAUGAAAAUUACAUAAACACAAUGUUGCCAUGAACUUCCACACCGAAAUGUAAAAUAAUAGAAACAAUGGUGCCUUUGUCUUCUCUCACGGCGAUGGUUCGAUGACUCUUUUUCUUCUGUGGUGUCAUGGAGGAACAACCUCCAGAGGCUUUUUCUUUUUCCUGGAGCAGCACGCGACGGCGCAGGUGGUGGCGCAACCUUCUGCUUUUCGUUCCGAAGUGGUGGAGUUGGAAAGAAGUUUCGAUGGCAUAGGCGUCGCGCUUUUCCUUUUUGCGCAGCAUUGGCGGUUUCGGUGUUGCUGUUCUGGUUUUCCUGCAGGUCUGGGUAGGCAUGAGCUUCUUCUUCCUCCAACAUUACGUCCAACACGCAACCAGUACAUUAAAUACACAUUAAAUCAGUCAAGUUAAGUUUAACCAACAAUGUUUUUUACAGACCUUAACUUGAUGAUAGUUUGGGAUUUGAAUCAAGGUUUCUUUCAUUGUUUGUUGAUUAUCACAACACAAUAAAAAUAUUAGUAUUGUAAAUCAAAAUUAUAAUAUAUUGAGGGUUAUUUUCUUUAAAUUACUCGUUGUAUCACCUAUUUUCGAGAAAAAAAAAGUCAAAUAAAAUAAAGCAUCAUAUAUCAAAUUAGGACUUGAUGCAAUUAAAAAUUGUUCUUGUUAUGAUGCUAACACCACCCACAUAAAUAUAAUUAAAAUCUUAAGAAUCUAUAUUGAAUAUACUGUUUCAUCAAUGGUUACACAACUCAGACCAACCACUAAUAUAUCUAUAUAAAUAUAUAUAAACACACAAGAUGUAUAUGUGGGCCAUGCAUGCAGUUUCAAAUUACUCUGUGGAAAACUGACUAAGCAUGAUUAUUGAGAAACCUUGAGAAUAUUUAUACCCUAUAUAAGAAAAAAAUUAAUAAGCCAUGAUGAUUAUUAAUAAAACCAAUAAAUCAAAAGAACUUCAACAUAAAAUUAAUAAGCUCUUUACUUUGUGCUUAUUAAAUUAGAAGCAAAGAGCAAAAAUGAUAUCUUCAUAUUUUAAAAACAAAACAUACCUGGUUGAUGUUCAACUCGACCACCUUUUCCUACAAGAAGCCAACCUCUUUCAUGUUGAAUUUGUUAAGUAGGGUAAGACUUGAUAGGUUUGAGAUGGGCUGAAUUAUUAGAUUAUCCAUCACCAUGUAAGUUAUUAUCUCUUUCACAAAAUCACUCUUGUCGGCAGAAAUCUCAUUUGCGACCUUUUCAUCAACAAAAGUCAAUUCCAAAUUCAUAGGUUCACUACAAUCAGGACAACAAGUGUUGUUAUCACAUGUGACGUAGUCAUGGUCAUCCGAGCACUUGUAGAAGAAUAGAAGAACACAUUGGUGGAGUUUGUGGACGAACUCCACAAAUGUUAUUCGGUGAGAGCGCGUAUGGUGGAAUAGAAUGAAAAUGAGGAACUGAGAGAAUGGUUUUAACUUGAGCAGAGUAUCUAAAGAGUUAUAUGCAUCUGCUCUUGGUGGGAUUAUAUUGUCUAUUGGAACAAGACUACCAGUAGAUGAUUUUGCUCUUGCAAUUAGGAAGUAAGAAUUUCAUUAUUACCUUUUUUGUUUGCUGCUUAAGAUUGCAACACGUAAAGUCAUGGAGCUGCUGCUUCCAAUGUUCAUUAUCUUCAAUUUUGCUACAGACCUUUGCCACUUACCGUUGGGUUAAUUACACAAUAUAUACUUAAGCCUGUUCUUGGGGUCUUCGUUGCGAAGGCUUUUGGUUCGUCUAGGAUGUUUUAUGCAGGUUUUGUCAUCACAGCUUGUGUUUCUGGGGCUCAGCUAUCCAGUAUGCAAACUUUUUAAGCAAAGGGGAUGUAGUCCUGGGCAUUCUUCUCGCAAGCUAUACCACAAUUGCAUCAGUUGUUGUUACACAACUGUUAACUGGUCUUCUGAUUGGUUCAGUGAUGCCAGUUGAUGCAGUUGCCAUGUCAAAGCCAAUUUUGCAGUUGGUUCAGUGAGUGCUUCUGUGAUAUUAUACUUGAAUUUGGUUUAAUGACUGGUUUACUUGUAAAUAUUUGAAAGGUUGUUCUUGUUCCGGUGCCCUCUUCUGUGACUAGUUGAUAUUUUAGGACCUAGCUAUCCGAGCUUCUCUUAUUGACAAAUAGAUGAUGUGAUGAAAAUUGAAAUUCACAAAGCAUUAAAACUGUUAUUGUGAAAUUGACAUUUAUGACAUGUUUGGAUCCUAGCUAGAAGUGUUUUUAAGAGUUUAUUUAUUAAAAUAUAGAAUUUUUUGUAACAAAGAAGCUUUCAAAAGUUCAUAUAAUUUUGGAUUCAAACAAGCGUGUAUAUGUUUUAAUGAAGUGCUUUAAAGUUAAAUUUAUGGAGAAAAUAUAAUCUGCUUGGUUGUAUACAUCUAUUGCUCUAUUGUUGUUUUUUUUAAAAAAAAAAAAAAGAAUUUAACAAUUUUUUUUUGAUAAAAUAUAUGUUACAUGAUAUGAUAUUUGUAAUUGAUCCAUUUCAAAUAUUUCUUUUAAAAUAAAUUAAUAAAUUAAUGAGACAUGUACUUUUAUAAAAAACUUAUUCAAAAUAACUGUUAAAAUAUCUUUAAAUUCAACGGUAGUGUUUCAGCAUUUUCAUUAGUUAUGAGAGAUCUGAAAUAAAAUAGUAAAAGCAAUAAAAUUAUAUUUUUAUUAUAUUUACCCAAUCUCAAGGUGGGGACAACAUCAAUUAUAUUUUUAUUCGAUUUUGACGUGUUUUUCUUAGUGUAAAAAAUCUUAAAAAUAAUGAAUUUAUAUAUUUUAGGAAAUCUUUGAGUGAUGUAUUAUGUGUUCUAUAUCAAAAUUAAACAAAUCUCAGUAGAGUAUGAAAGUAUUAUUUGAAUUUGACAAAAUUUAUAAUGACAACAAAUAAUGUUUUUUUUGAAAAAAUAUAUUGUUAUUAAAAUCUCUUUAUACCUAAUACAUCUUAUCAAUCGUAUUUUGAUGACUCGUGAUAUGUGUCAUGUUACUUAGUACAUAGUCAACUUUGUAUGUUUUUUACGUUCUUAGUUCAAAAUACAUUCAUGAAAAUCAAUUUUGAUGUUUCAAUAACAUGAGAAAUACGGAUGACAGCACUAAACAAAAAAAAAAAACUGGUUAAAGAUUAAAAUAAAUGUAAUGUAAAGAAGAUCUAAAUGGACGCGAAAAUAAAAAUUGAUACCAUGAAAACAAUAUUUUCCUCGCAUUUUGUAAGACUGAGUAAAUAAAUUUUAACAUAAUGUUUUGAUAACAUAAAAUUACGAAAAGCACAUAAACAUAGUGUUGCCAAAAACUUCCAACCCAAAAUGUAAAACAAUGAAAACUGAUUUUUUAAGGAAUGAUGUGCGGUUCUUGAUAAAAACACUUGUAAACACCAUCUUAGACUCCGGAAAAGCCUUCAGCAGAUCCCAACCCUGUUUCAAACAGCCAAACAAAAAAAUAAAAUAAAAAAACAUGAAGAAGAAAACUAAACUUUUCAAAAUAUACCUAACCAAUUUAUAAUAUAAAAUCAAUAAUCAAAACUGAAAGAACGUUAUGAAAUUUGCAUGUGAUAAAACAAUCCAUAUGGGCUUUGUUAAAUAUGUGAAACCAACGUCUCUUAUAAAAAAAACUCAUAUUCAUAAUUCUUAACAUAUUAAAUACUCAUAAAGCAGUCAAUUUAAGCUUAACCAACACUGUUUUUACAGAUGUUAACAUGUAAAAUUAAGUUAUAAAAUUAAAGUUCAUUUUAUGAUAUUUUCAAUACAUAUUUAACAAUCUAUACAACAUAAAUAAGAACACAAUUCCAUGCAUUGGUUAUUAGCUUAAAAAGAGAUAUUACUUUGUGUGGCCUAUGACGAAGAAUGAUUCUUGAGAAAAACAUCUGUCAAAACUGUCUUCAACUGCAGAGAAGCUUUUAGAAGAUUCACACCCUAUAAUAUAAAGAAAAAUAAAAUUAAUGAACCAUGAUGCAUUAUUAGUUAACAAAAAAAUAACUCCAACAUAUGUGUAAGAGAUUCCCAAAACCCUUUACUUUGUGCAUAUUAAAUUAGAAGUAAAUUAAGAUAUUUUAAACCUAAAAGAAAAAGA